rnacentral:lncRNA from 1 species
GCAACUCUGCAUUUUGUCUCAAAAGAACGCAUGCCAGUUAUUUCAAAUAAAGAACAAUGCAACUGUUAAAAUUUGACUGUAAAAUGUAAAUUCAUCCAACCAUAUCACACCCAGAGCAGCACAUGAGACGCUAACCAUGAUUUCACUAGACAAGCACAUCAAGGCUCAUACGAUUUCUAAUUGACAGGAAUUUAAAGUAAUACAUGCCCCUGGAGCGUCCUCGCUACAUUCAGGCUAACGGUGCGUCAUGUCUCUCUCAACUCCAGCACUGAGAUGGUUCCUUCAGGGGGCUACCUAAACAGCACAUCUAAGGACGGGUGCUAGCAAGCGAUGGCGGCACUCGGUUACAGACUCAGUCGACGAACGCUGACUUGUAGUGGGGCACCCGGUUACAGGCUUAGUCGACGAACGCUGACUUGUAGUGGAAAUCGUCGAUGGUCGAGUAGAUGUGCCCGACAUCGACGUGGUAGUCGAUAGCCUCCCUGCAUAUCAGAGGUUAAGCUUUAUUAGCCAGCAGCAAUACAUCAUCGUGUGUCUGGAUUCAAGAGAGAUAGAGAGAUGGGCUUACUUGAUCUUGAGUGCUGGUAGUCUGAACCGCUUGGCAAUGUCAUCCACAUGAACGCCAUGGUCACUCUCGCUGUAAAAUUAACCAGGGUGUUUAGAAAGGAAGAAAAAUAAAUCAUCAGUGAUGUAAAAAUGAAACAAUAUGCAGAGUUAGGACAGGCAAUGGACCAGGCUUUGGUGGCAUAGAUGCCAAGCAGAAAGACAAGCAUCCUACAAGGCAAGGAAAGGAUGGAAUGGUGGAUGCACAACUCACAUGUUUGCUGGUUCACGGAAGACAUUCAGCACCUGCGUGUAGAAAUCAGUCGCUGAUCCGUUUGUUCCACUGGUCACUGGUGCCUGCAGGAAUGAUUGAAAUAAAUGAUAACUGACACCAGGAGAGUUGUAUUGUUUCAUCCAUUCAAGCAUUGCAAUCACAGCUUACCAGGUUGGAUUUCACAGAGGGUGGAGUGGCCGCUUCGCUCAAUCUGUUGGAGAAUGGAGUUCCCACAGAAGAAUUGGUGUGCGCAGGACUGCCAACCUACAAUUAACCAUGAUUAUAACAACCAUUUAAACCAGGUAUUCUUCUAACAGAGGACAAACACAUAGUUCUCAUGGGAGUAUCCGCAUCGAACAUUGGUACUACAAUGAUCAGGAGCAUACCUUUGAUUUUGUGUUCUCUAUGUGCAUCCGUACACACUGAAUGAAAUGCAGCGUGACCUCGUUGUAAUCAGUUAUAGGCCUGAGAUGGAAAAGUUAUAUCCAGUUAGCAAGCUUCAAUACAUCAGAUCAGUGGAACAAGACCAUAAUAUUUUUGCAAAUAAAUACCUGACUGCAAAAGCCGUAGCACGCUUCUUGUCCUGAACUCCCUUGAGGCUACCGAUGACAGCAACGUACAUACCAUUCCUUUAUUAACAAAAGAAGUAUUAGAAAAGGGUGGUGAUCCUUCAGAGAGGAAGGCAGUAAUUUUCCUCAACAAAUAGUGGUUGUGUAUGCAGGACAAGCAAAAAAUGAAGGUUACAAGUAAUACGUACUGAAUAGCAGCAGUUUCAGCAGAAUCUGCAGAAUCAUUCACCCUGUAAAACAUAUCAAAAUUGACAAAGAUGUUAAACUGAUACCUAUUGCAGACAGCAGAUGCUAUCAAGUAUGAUCAGCCUCGAAGCUCUUUUCUAAAUCCUAAAAUAGUAUUACAAAUCGUGAGCUUGUAAAAGUACUAAAAGUUGCUGAUGGCAUAAACUAUACUUAACCACAAAGGCCUUCGCAAAACAGGCCAAUGUUAGGCUGCUACCAUAAUGAGCCUAAUGACAGCAUGUCAGAUAUUUUAUACUAUUCCCAACAGCCACAUUUUCUUUGCUAAUAUAUCAUUAACUAGCAAAAGAAAUGUAUACUAAUAUAUUAAUCUUAGCCAAAGGUAAGGACUGAAAAUGUAAGCAUUUUACAGUGAUCUAUCUACCAUAUGUUAAAUGAGUGAUUAGUCAGGGAUGGUAAGAUAUUUGCAUAUUUCCAUUAUUGGACUGCUUGCACACUGAUAAGAGCAACUAUAUUCCUAGUGAAAACUGAACCUACGGUUUGACAAAUCAAACAACAGCCAGCAAUGACAACUGAAGCACAUGAGAUCUUUUAUAUUCUCAAAGGCAGCAGAAACUAUAAUAAUAUCCAUUAGUACAUGAAUCUCAAUAGUACAAAUAUAUUAUGCUUAGCCAGGGGUAAGAAUUGAAGNNNNNNNNNNNNNNNNNNNNNNNNNNNNNNNNNNNNNNNNNNNNNNNNNNNNNNNNNNNNNNNNNNNNNNNNNNNNNNNNNNNNNNNNNNNNNNNNNNNNNNNNNNNNNNNNNNNNNNNNNNNNNNNNNNNNNNNNNNNNNNNNNNNNNNNNNNNNNNNNNNNNNNNNNNNNNNNNNNNNNNNNNNNNNNNNNNNNNNNNNNNNAUUUGUCAGAGAUGGUAAAGUAAUUGCAGAUCCCCACUAUUGAAUUGCUUGCAUUGUGAUGAAAGCCAAAGUAUUUUAGUGAUGUAUAUUGGUAGAUUAUGCUUGUCAGGUGCUACAGACUGCAAAUUUUAAGCGUUUACAGUAAUUUAUCCCCCUGCGAUCCCUCAAAUAACCAGAGAUACCAAAUAAGUUUACUAAUUUAGCAUGUUAAGCCAGCUGCGCUGACAAAAAAUCAAGUGUUUCAGAGUAACAUAUCACCAAAACACAGUAGUUAGUUAGUCAAAUAUGGUGUCUAUGAACUUGCAAAGUUGCAAUAGUCAACAUUAUACUGACUCGAAAAUAAAUCAAGCAUUUCACAGUAAUAUAUUCCACUAAUGUCCCUCCCUCAAAUGGUUAAUUAGUGAGAGAUGGUAAAGCAAUUGCACUUUUCCCACAAGCAAUGGCCACAGGAGCACAAAGGUCUAAACCUGUGUCCUAAACCACAUCUGGAACUCAAUUACUGAAUUAAUCUUGCCCCGUCGUACCAACAGCCAACAGUAUUUCUAUCUAUUGAAGAUUGAAGUUGCAGCAUUAGACAAAUCCCACAGCCAACAUCCAGCAAUGGAAUCCAAACAAAAAAUGCAUCUGGAACCCGAAUACAAGUUGGGGAUUUGCCGAGAUGCGCUCACCAUCUGAUGAAGUCGAUGCGGCCGGUGCCGUCGUCGAGGGUGAAGGACACGUCCGUGUUCCGCCCCGCCUUGCCGCUCACCAUCCCCACGAGCCUGACCUGCAGAUCCCCCAAGCCAAGCCACGUCAGUCCCGACGAACAAACGGCCGAGGAGAAGCGCAAGGCGGGUGGGUCCUCACGUUGGCCGUCUCAACGCCGUCGACGACGAAUGGCGCGCCCUUCUCGCCGGUGCCGGCCAGCUGCGCGUCCGCGAUCUGCUUCACGGUCAGCGGCAUCGUGCCCGACGCGCCCCGGAACUGCGACGCACAACCGAGAGAUCUACAUCAGGACACCGGGAAGGAUCCAUCUCGCAAGAAAGCGGGGAGGGAGGACCGACCUUGUUGGGGGUGGAGUCGGCGGCGGCGUUCUGCGACGCGGUGAACUGCGACGGCGAGAAGGCGUCGACCUGGCUGGAGAACAUCAUGGCUGCUGGCCCUCUCUCCGGUUUCCUUCCCCUGCUCCGCUCUGCUCUCGGCUUGGCCGGACGGAUGGAUCUCUUCUGGCGGCGGCGGCGGCGGCGGCGGUGGCUGGUGGCGUCUGGCGGGGAGGGGAUCGGAGGAGGCCGGGAAUAAGAGGGGGCGAGCGCGGGAGAUUCGGGGGGAAAUGCGCGGGAAAUCCACCUCGCUUCCCGCCAGUUCUCGGUCCGGCGGGCUUUGGCCUUCAUUGUUGGCUGACAGGUGGGUCCCCACUGCACAUGAGUCAGCUGCCAGCAGCCAAACCUCAAAAAAAAAAAACUGCCAGCAGCCGGUGAGUUAAAAAAUGUUUACUAUGUAAGGGUCAAAAGGAGUUAUAACCAAAUAUUCCAUCCUUCCCAAAUAUAAAGCGUAUGAGGAUCUCUUUUUUUUCUAAAGGAUGGAAGCCAUAUAUUUGGGGCGUCGAAAUCUUCUUCUUCCUGCACCCACCGGCGACGUGCCGUGGGCAAACCUCUCAUACCAUAGCAGUACCACUGUAUUGUUUGUUUGGUAUUGGAGUUACAAAUAUAUUUUCUAUACAUUUUGUCAGGUUUAAAAAAAAUUGAUCCUACGAUAAAAUAUGUACGCCUUCUGUAUUGGAAACAUUCAAGCAAGACUUUCAGGUUAGAAAAUAUGUUUAUUAUGUUAUGUUAAAAAGAGUCUUUUGCAUGUAUAUAGAAUAAUAAUGCUAAAAGGUACACCGUGUUACAAAAUAGAAAAUUCUACUAUCUUGGGAUGAUUUUGUGCUUUGAGGAACAAUAUAAGAAGACAUAUUUUUGUUCUUGCAAAAAAAAGAACAAAAUGUAGUAGUAAUGGCAAUAUUAAACCAGACAAGUAGUCUUCAAUUGUUUAUGUUGGAAUUAUUAUUUUUGAUCAUUUUAAGGGGGUGCAAACGAUCUGAGUGAGUUUUUCUUAUACAGAAUAUAUGUGUAUUUCCUCUCAAAACAUAAACGAAAUUUAUUGUAAUUACAGAAAUAUAAAAUCAGCCUACACAACAUUCGAGCCCAGCGACAGAUGUUCUUCAUGGAAAGCCCAAUUAGUGAUUAUUCCAAAAGUGGUGGACCAGUGUCCACCUCCCAGCCCAGUUAAAGUGGAGAAGCCCAUAGAGCGUCUGAACAAAAAUGCUAUCGGAUUUCUGCGGGAAACCGGUAACAGAAAUUCUCUGCGAAAAUAGGAUUAUCGCCAGGAUAAAAUGGAGGUGAAAAAUAGGAUUUGGAGAUGGGAGGUAUCGAUCCCCCUGCCUUUUAUAAGCCGUAUAAAUGCUCUACCAUUUGAGCUACAUCCCCAUUGAUGUCUAUUAUACUAAUCCAAGCUAAUAUUAAUAUCAAUUAAUUACUUUUGACUAAAAAUAAUCAAUCCCCAGUUAGAAUUUUUCUUUCCAAUAUUUGCAUUUCGUUUCUUUGUGUGAAAACCGUGGCUCUAAUGCACGGGACGGCUGGUUGUGACAGCCUCCCCUUUUUCUAAAUAAAUCGCUAUAACUAGAAAAAAAAAUUGAGGCAAGUGCUAAAAAACGCCACUGAAACACUAAAUAGAGGAUUAGACUGUUUUGGGACAACUUGUGAUUUGAGAUUAUAUUUUCUAUUCUCUAGAAAAAAGACAAUAUUUUACCUGGUAUUGGCAAUCUAGACUAGGACCUGGAGACAAUAUUAAGGGACUGUUUGAAUAUGACGAUUUUAUUAAGUCGGUUUUGCCUAUGUGUUUAUUGUUGUAACUAACAAAAAAUGUAUUUGAUUAGCAUAGAAAAUAAAGAUAACUUAAAUUGUAAAGCUCGGAAACCGAGCUUGUGGAAAAAUAAUAAUUUAAGGUUUCUCAGUAAACCGGUUUGGUGCAUCUUUUACGUACGUGUUUACCAUUCCCAUCCAUGCGAUAUUAUAUGCAUAAUUAUCUUUAACGUAAUUAUUAAUAAAGUUGGUUUUACAAAAGGUUGUACCGAAUGUGUUUUGUUAAACUGGUCCCUUUGUUAAUUGUAGGUAUUAAGAUAGCUGACCGGCCUUGCCACCCGGUAGAGUGUGUUGGGAUUAAAAGUGAGUGAAGAAAAUAGAGAUGUCGGCCGUGCGUUGGUUUAAGACCAAAGUUCACAGAGGACGAAUGGGACUAAAAUGUGCACCCUUGCUUGGCCAUUGUUGUUUGCUGACAAAUGGGUCUCCAGUUCACAGUCAUGUUAGGACUAAUAAGUGAGAUUUNNNNNNNNNNNNNNNNNNNNNNNNNNNNNNNNNNNNNNNNNNNNNNNNNNNNNNNNNNNNNNNNNNNNNNNNNNNNNNNNNNNNNNNNNNNNNNNNNNNNNNNNNNNNNNNNNNNNNNNNNNNNNNNNNNNNNNNNNNNNNNNNNNNNNNNNNNNNNNNNNNNNNUGCGGGUGAAACGAGCAUUCAUUAAUUAAGUAAUGUUUGUACACUCGUUUUCACAAAUAGAACAUAAAUCAUCAGGCCCAGCUUGCAGCCAAACCAUCGUACGUUGGCUAGUACGUCCUCUUUGAGCCAUGCAAUGCGCGGCCAUGUUGGCCGUGCGUCGGACGUGCUCAAAAACAUGACGCCGUACUCCAUGCAAUAGCCUCUUCGUCUCCUCGAUAAACCCGGCCAACGAAGACCUGUUAACUCCGCUGUCCGUCAAAGCUACCACUCCUUCUUUACAGUCUAGUUCCACAAUGAUGGGUUUCUCUGUACGCUGCAGCGCCAGGGACGUGCCCUCGAGACACGCUGCUAUUUCCGCCUCCAUUGGUGUGUGGCAUGAUCGAAGAAACCGACACGACGAGAAGAUGAUGGCACCCGUGUCAUCCCUCAAGACCAUGCCCGCACCUCCAGUACACUCGCCAGGGAUAUGUGACCCAUCAACAUUCAGUUUCACCCAGNNNNNNNNNNNNNNNNNNNNNNNNNNNNNNNNNNNNNNNNNNNNNNNNNNNNNNNNNNNNNNNNNNNNNNNNNNNNNNNNNNNNNNNNNNNNNNNNNNNNNNNNNNNNNNNNNNNNNNNNNNNNNNNNNNNNNNNNNNNNNNNNNNNNNNNNNNNNNNNNNNNNNNNNNNNNNNNNNNNNNNNNNNNNNNNNNNNNNNNNNNNNNNNNNNNNNNNNNNNNNNNNNNNNNNNNNNNNNNNNNNNNNNNNNNNNNNNNNNNNNNNNNNCAAAGACCCGUACCUUAGGUGGAGCAGGGCACCUCCACAAUGCCGUCCAGACGGCACGAUUGCCGUCCGGUGCCCUGCUCGCCGUGCAUGAAGAUGCGCGCAGUUUUUCCUCCAGCCCCAUUUUAUAGGCUGAUUUGACGGAGAAAAUGCCUCUCGGAUCCGGCCCCCAGGCUAGGACAUCAUGCAUCCUCGGUGAGGGCCGCAACUUGAUAAUCUCGACGACGUCUGGCUGUAUAAAGUACUGCUGCAGCAACUCCCUUCUCCACAUGCCACGAUCGUCCAUCAGCUCAGCUACACGCCGAAGCCUGCACCUUCCGACAUGUGAUAUCGGCCGGUACGACACUGGCCGCUCCAGCCACGGAUCGCGCCAUAUACGAACAGAUUGUCCGUCACCGAUCCUCCAUAGGAGACCUUUUUUUAGGAGCUCCAGUCCAUACGUAAUGGCUUGCCACGUCGAUGAAGCAUUGCCUGCAAAAACAGUAUCCUCUAGUCGCCCAUUAGGAUAAUAUUUCGCUUUCAAGACCCGAGCACACAAGCUGUCCGGGUUGAUCAACAAACGCCAUGCCUGCCGAGCAAGGAGUGCUUGAUUGAAGAUUCUGUAAUCCCGAAACCCAAGGCCGCCCAUCGCUUUGGGUUUGAUGAUUUGAUCCCAAGCCAUCCAGUGAGUUUUUCGUUUCCCUUUCUCUGAGCCCCACCAGUAGUUCCGGACCAUCCGUGUAAGAUCAUCGCACACAGAGAAUGGAAGCUUGAAGACGCCCAUGAUAUACGUGGGGAUUGAUUGUGCCACCGCCUUGAUCAACACUUCUCUGCCAGCUUGAGCCAUAUAUCCAUCGCCCCAAAUACAUAUACGCUUCAUCAAUUUUACUUGCAAAUUUUGGAACCUCCCUUUAUGCAUGCGGCCUUCUGGAGUCGGGAGUCCUAAGUAUUUCUCCUCAAACUGAUCCUUCAUGAUUUGUAGUUGCUGUUUCACAUUUUCCUGUACAUUAGGGGGACACGACUGUCCAAACAGUAUUGAGCAUUUUGCCGGGUUGAUUAGCUGUCCCGUGGCACUCUCAUAAGCAUGAAUAAUGUCCUGCACCGCCCCUGCCUGCUGUUGGUUCGCCUUGAAGAAGAGAAGUGUGUCAUCCGCAAAUAGCAAGUGCGAGACCCCCGGGGCUCCACGACAUAUUUUCAGCGGCUCUAUAGCAUUUGUUCUCACUCCCUGUUUGAGCAACUCAGAUAACCCAUCAGCCACAAAUAGGAAUAGAAAUGGCGAUAAGGGAUCACCUUGCCGGAGGCCUCGCUCCGGUGCGAACGAUUCAAGAAGAGUUCCAUUAAAUUUUACAGUAUACCUCACCGUGGUAACACACGUCAUGAUCCAUUGCACCCACCGAUGAGCAAAACCCAACCUGACCAUCACUCGCUCCAAGAAUCCCCAGUCAACCCUAUCAUAUGCCUUAGAUAGGUCCAACUUGUAUGCACAAAAGCUAGCAUCCGGUUUCUUCUCCUGAUGUAUUGCAUGAACACAUUCAAACGCCAACAGUGCGUUGUCCGUAAUCAGCCGGCCAGGUACAAAUGCACUCUGAAAUGGUGAAAUGAUCUCAUCCAGAAUAGGGCGAAGGCGAUUGACCAAGCACUUGGCCACUAUCUUAUAUAUUACGUUACAGAGACUUAUAGGCCGAAAAUCCGUUACCCGCUUAGGCUCAUCAGUUUUUGGGAUGAGAACAAUGAUGGCCUCAUUGACACCCUCGGGCAUAAUUCCAGUUUGGAAAAACUUCCUUACCGCGCUGACAAUCUCGUCCUUGAAGAUACUCCAAUUUCGUUGAAAAAAACGUGCCGGCAGUCCAUCACUUCCCGGAGCUUUUAAGGGGCCGAUCUGAAAGAGCCCAUCAGCUAUCUCCUUCUCCGAAAAUUCAGCACACAGAUUUACAUUCAUCGCAUCAGUGACCACAGGCUCGAAGAGGUUCACCACCGGAGUUGGGUUCAAAGACGUAUCCUUGGCAAAGAUGUUCUGAAAAUAUUCUUGCACUAGGCCACCCAUCGCCUUGUGAUCUGCAUGUUCAACACCAUUGUUAUCAAUUAAACUUCUCACCUUAUUCUUACGAGCACGCCAAACCGCUUUCCUGUGAAAGAAUUCUGUAUUCCGGUCGCCCUCUUUUAGCCAGUCGAUGCGCGACCGUUGCAGCCACAACAUUUCCUCCUGGUACAACAAUUCAUUCAUAUGGUCAGAGACCUUUUUUAUUUCAUCUCUGUCCGCAUUCAUAUUGAGCAGCUCUUCUAAUUUAGUUCUGGACUUCUCAAGCUCUCUAGUGACGUUACCAAACCUUUUCUUUCCCCACGCAUACAGAUUAAGUAACAAACUCUUAAGCCCCUCCCGAACAUCACCAAGGUUAAACUUGGCACCGGCCUCCUCCCAGGCAUUGGCAAUUCUUUCCUGUAGACUUGCAUCUCUUUCCCAGAAAAUUUCAUACCUUCUAAAACUCGGCCUGUAUACCUUUUCUUCAUCGGCAACACACUUUAGUAAAAUAGGAAGAUGGUCAGAACAAGGUGAUACCUGAUGGACCACCUUGGCAGCACUGAAUAAAUUACGCCAGUUGUUGUCCGCCACCGCUCGAUCCAACCGCACUUUAACGUUUCUGUUUCGACGCUGUUUAUUAUCAUAUGUGAAUGGGAGGCCUUGGAACCCCAAGUCCACCAGAUUACAAGUUUCCAGUACAUCCCUGAAGGCUUGCAUCUGAGGUUCACUUCUUGGGGUGGCUGACAUAUGUUCAAAGGACCAGAGAGCUUCAUUAAAAUCCCCUAUGACACACCAAGGAAGAUCAGACUGCACUUUCAGAUUUUGCAUUGUUGCCCACAUACGAUGACGGUUUUCCGUUCGUGGUUCGCCAUAAACACAAGUUAAACGCCACAUCGGAGCACUGGGGGACACACGCACAUACGCAUCAAUAUAUCUUUCAUUCGAAUCUUUAACAUCCACGUACAUCUGAUCACACCAAAACAAAGCAAGACCCCCACUAAGCCCAACACUGUCGACACCAGCAAAACCUCUAAGACCCAAUCUAGCACGAAGACGACGGACUUUUUCUGCACUUUGUCUAGUCUCACACAGGAACACAAUCUUUGAUUCAGUAGCCCUAACCAAAGCCACCAAAUCCCGAACUGUCGGUUUGUUCCCAACACCCCGACAGUUCCAACUUAAACAAUUCAUUGCUCCUGACGGGGCGCCACAAAUGGCCCCGUCAGUUUACCAGCGGCCCCUGGGCUGGUUGCCUCCAUAUCCACCUCUCCCUUCGCCCCCAUGUCCAGUUCAAUAGCCUCCUCUGUCCUCUUGACUUUGCCUUUUUUAGAUUUUCCACCCUCCUCUUCCCUGUCUUGAUCCACCACAUGUGUAUCCCCCUGGUGCUCCUCCUCAUGAUAAUAGAAAAGUGAGAUUUAAUAAGUGAGAUUUAAUAAGGUAUUUUUUAUCAGUAAUAAUAGAAAAGUCAUUUAUUGCAAAGUCCAAAAGAAGGAAAUAGAGUAACUGUGAUCUACAUCGAGCAGACCCUAACCAAACUUAGAUGAUGCAAAUGUGCAUCAUCCAUACGUGGACACAACCACCCUACUGAAAACCGUGCACACCCCAAGACGUAUGUGCCAAGAGGGAAUGUUCGUGUGGCCCAACGAGGAUGUCGGUUCCUCUAAGUGAGGGUGUAUGUGAUAGUCUGGCUCAAUAGGGACGAUAGACUAUUCAUAUCUAUAAGGAAUUCCUUUUUUUCUGGGAGCCCAUUUGGAAAGAACUCCAAAGUUUAGCAUGCUCAGCGUGAAGUAAUUUCAGGAUGGAUGACUGACCGGGAAGUUGCUCCUGGGUGCGCAUGAGUGAGGACAAACUGCGCAGAAAAGACUAGUAUUGAUCUGUGAGGACAGUCGACGGAUGUAUCCGAAUUGUUACAAGUUGGUAUCUGCCAAAGAGUUGUAUGCGUAGCCAAGAACAUUUGCCGACAUAUGUGUGACACAAGUCACAGAGCACCGGCAAGAGAGGAUUGUACCGCUAAAAUCUCACAUUGGAGACGCUCUGGCGAUACCACAAUUCCAUCACUAAGUGUACAUCGAUGGUAAUUCUAGUCAUGGCCAUCGGCCCCGGACAAUACACCGCUAGCUAGUCUUCACUACAACUCCAUGGCCGCGAUUUGCCGCCACAAACUCAUCCGGACCCUGGGCCGCUGACCAGCAUCGUCGGCACUGCCGCAACGUACCACUCUACAAUGUCACACCACCAUGAUCAAUCUCGGCCGUUACCUGCUGCCAUGCACCGCCUCCAUGCCUAAGCCACCCAAGAUGGAGCAAGGCAAGAGAAAAGCCAGAAGCCAUGAGGCCACGCAGGACAGGUAAGUCCUCAUCCCAACCCCACCUCGGUCCCACUCCUUUCCCCUCAAGGCCACAUCUAGGUAAGAGGAGUGGGGGCCCACCAUUUCAUUUUUAUUUUUCUUAUGUUUUGUGUCCUUAGUGGCGUCAAUGAGGUGACAGCUGUGAUGGCGUGUUGGAAUAAGGUCUUUAUGACUUCUACAUACCUCGGCAACGUGCAAUCUGAUAUAGACGAAGGGCUUGUGAGAGUUUUGACAUCAUAUUUGUUGGCUCUCUUUAGAUCUUGACAGUUGGUGUGUCUAUCAAGGAGAGCAAUAGAUUGGCUAUCAGUGCGGCGACUUGGACAUCUUCUUUUGUGUUGUUCUGCGGUAUGGUUUGGUUUCUCCAACUCUCUAAAGCAGUGGUGAUGGAUUACAAGCUUGUACCACGUGGGAUAAUGCUCUAACCGGUGUUUCUUCAAUGAUUUCUAGAUAUCGUCUUAAGCCACGAGUGGCUAUUGUGGUCUAGUAUAAAGCAUGAUAUGGUGAUGGCAUUCACAUGUAUCUUUUUCUUUACCGUUGGUUUAGUGUAAUUUUUAAUCUCCGACGGGCGGCAUACAAUCGAAGAAAGAAGAGGACGACUAGUAUGAAUUUUAAUGCAAUUUUAGUUUUCAGUUGUCCUUUCAUUGUACUAGCUAUUGUUUUUUCUUGAUAACUAUCACAUCUAAGAUGCCUUUUGGUGUCUUCAAAAAAGAAAGAUGGAGGUAGCUAGGGCAAAUCUUUAUCACAUAGGAGUAUUACAUAAUUAGCGAGUGAUGUGGCAUAACAAUAACAAAAUAAAAAUAAAAAUUUAGAAGUCAACUAGUACAAAGGAAUGCUAGCCAGUACAUGAUUUUAUACGAAUCCCAGUUUUACAUGUGUUGCCCCAACAUACAAGCAAGUUCAUAUUUGUUCGCUCUUGACGAACCAAACAUCUACAGUUCAGAUUCAACGAGUAUCCAAAAAAUUAUAGAAUUAUCUCAUACGUCGUCGCAUUGAAUUAGCCCGUACCAUAACGACACGCCUAGCCUAUAUAGUACACUAAUUUUUGGGUCACAUUCCCAUCAGUGUGGUGUCCUCUCCCCAUCACCACGUCAGUUUGACUUUGUUGUAUUUUAUGUUGGCAAGGCCACCCCAAACAAGCAAGAGCACGAACACACGCAUCCUAUCCUAGCUAUAUAAUGCUAACCAUUGGUGCAAUCUUUCUCUCACGAUCGACGAGCCAACACAACCCGAUCGAUGCCUCCAUCGAAUGCUCACAAGAAGAUGACCAUGAGCUGCCUCGUCGUGCUGGCACUGGCACUCGCGGCCACCGUGGGCGCGCAGGAGUGCAGGCGGAGCGGCACGCUCCGGCCGAGCGAGGGCCACUCGUGCGAGGACUGCUGCGAGGCAGGGAAGGCGUACCCGACGUACCGGUGCUCGCCGCCGGUCGUCGCGGGCGCCACCAGGGCCAUCAUGACGCUCAACGACUUCGACGAGGGCGGCGACGGCGGGGACCCGUCGGCGUGCGACGAGGUCUUCCACCGCAACUCGGAGCGCGUGGUGGCGCUGUCCACGGGGUGGUACGCCGGGGGCUCCCGCUGCGGCGACCGCAUCCGGAUCCGAGCCAACGGCAGGUCCGUGCUGGUCAAGGUCGUCGACGAGUGCGACUCCAUGAACGGGUGCGAUGACGAGCACGCCUUCCAGCCGCCGUGCCGCAACAACGUCGUCGACGCGUCCCAGGCGGUGUGGGACGCGCUCGGCAUCACCGGCGAGGAGGUCGGCGAGUACGGCAUCACAUGGUCAGAUGCAUGACGCCUGUGGUGCCUUAAUGUAGCUAGUGUUCUCUUGCUUAUUUGAAGAACCUUUUGUGUAUGCGUGGUGGUGCCUUUGAUGUAGUGUAUUUUUUUAACACACCUUUGAUGUAGUGUUAAAAUGUUGUAUCCUCGAUGAAUAAGUAAACUGCUCUUUUUUCGUAACAGCAAAAGACUACGCUUUGCUAAUUACCAAUCACCUCUUUUGUUACGUUCGCUAAAAUUGCAAACGGAGUAGUAUUGCAAGACCAUCACACACCAAGGGCCUUACUGGAACCGCCAAAAAAAAUUCCCUAGUGCCCGGAGUUUUACCGAGUGCUUUUUAUCAGGAAGUUAGCAAACAAAAAGAAUGCGAGUGUCAGCCAUAAAAACUUGGCAAAAACGUAGAACUUGGCAAUGGCGAGGUUUUCCGGAGCGCACGGAAAAACAAAAAUCAGCCUCCACAACAUUCGAGCCCAGUGACAGAUGUUCUUUCAGGGAAAGCCCAGUUACAGAUUAUUCCACCACCUCCCAGCCCAGUUAAAGAUCCAGGGAGAAGCCCAUAGAGCGUCCGAACAAUGUGCUAUCGGCUUUUGGGAGGUCUCAUUUUCUGCGGGAAACCGCUAACAGAAAAAAAAACUGCGGGGAAAAUAAUAUCUCGCCAAAAUAAAAGGAGGUGAAAAAUAUGAGUUGGAGAUGGGAGGUAUCGAUCCCCCUGCCUUUUAUUAGCUUCAUAAAUGCUCUACCAUUUGAGCUACAUCCCCAUUGAUAUCUAUUACACUAAUCCAAGCUAAUAUUAAUAUAAAUUAUUUAUUUUGGCACUUGCCAAGCUUACCUCGCAACCUCAGUUUUUUUUUUGAGAACCCGCCCUUAAGGCUCUUUAUUCAUUUGUAGGCGUAAUCAAAUCAGAUUGUACAUCGUCAAUCUGAAAUACAAACUCAAACAAACACGCUUCCUUAAUAAGCGCCUCUCUGGCACUUGUACCCAUGAAAUACAAACGCCAUUUGCUUCUCUACUCACAUAUUGCAACUUAAACCCAUGAAAAAAGAUGGAGAUAGGCUUUCAUCUCCCUCAGCACCUGGUCACCCACCUAUCAAGCAUCUUCAUACAUCCAUUAGUUACAAACGGUCUGACAAUAUGUCUCUACCACCACAUGUGUGAGACCCUUUUCGGUUGCUAGGGCCAUGGCAUCCCUGCAGGCCAGCGUCUCAAUCACCAAUGGAACCGUGAUUGAAUCAUACUUCAUAAUCCUUCCAUAGAUAACGUUUCGUUGAUCGUCCUGAGCUACCACUCCAGUCCCAGCUAGACCCUGGUUCACCGAGAUAGUGCCAUCAUAACUUUUCAUUUCCCCUAGCGUUGUCUGUCAUUGUGGUUGCCUAUACAAACCUCAUUUCAUUUUCCAACUCAUUCACUGUGUUGGCAUAGUCAUUGCUUUCUGAAAAAGCCGACUUCCAAUUUGCAUCCAUCCGAAACAUGCAUAAUUAAGCCUCACUAAAAAUGCAUUGGUAGCAUUGCAAAAAAUGCUUAAAGAUUGUAUUUUAUUUGCAAACCGAGCAUCAAGGAACAUGGAUGUCCAGUCAGUGUAUUGGUUGGCCGGUCCAUCCACCAUUGCCCUUUGUUACAUCUACUACUUUCAGUGAGAAAACUUUGGUAUCCAUGCUAGGGCUCCCCCUUGUGUCGCAUUGGUAGGACACAAAGUGAGUCGGUCCUCCAUUGUUCCUCUGAGUUUGUGCUUAAUUAGCAUGAGAUAAUGAAAGAAAAUAAAUAAAUUCAUGUCAUUAUGCUUGAAUACCCAUAUUCGGUGUCUACGCAUGUGUGCACUACAUCUUGAAGGCGUUUGCUGUAUAACAAUGGUGACUUUGUCAUGGGUGUUUAUUAGUCAAUUCUUGUGAUGGGUUGACCUUUGUUGGCCAUUUCAUGUAUUCGAUUUAAAGAUGCUUUGGUGUGUGCAUCUGCAAAUUCACAGGCCAGAGGUAUAAUCAUUUGUAUUUUAUUAUUUUCACUUGUCAAGUUGAGUUCAACAAUAUUUUUCUAAAAUUAUUUUGCUAACCUUUAGAAGUUAACUAGUAAAUUUGCUUCACGUUUCUAAAAAAACCUUAAUUUGCUUUGCUUUUACAAUUUUAAAAUUUGGACAUCCGAUGGCACGAGGCUAGAAGUUAACUUGUAACAAACACUUCUCUCGAGUCCCCGCAUCGCCUCAACCUUCCAGCCCAGUUACAGGUUGUUCCAAAAUAAGCAUCAGGCCACACCUUUCAGUCCAGUUAAAGUUCCAGCGAGAAGCCCAUGCAGUGUCUCAACAAAGUCCUAUCCUUUUACUUAUUUUUGGCAGAAAAAAUAUCCAUCGCCAAGAUAAAAAGACGUAAAAAUAAAUAAAUUUUAGACUAACCCCCUCUUGACAACCCAAACUUAUUUAUAAACAAAGAGCUCUAUCAUUUGAGCUACCAUUAUAUAUAUAUAAGACUAAUCCAAAAAAAUUAUUCUUUACUAAAUAUGACUAAUAAAUAAAAGUCCAAGUCCAGUUGGCAGAGCCGGGGACAUUGGCCUUCAAUUGCCAACACGUUUGUCACAAAUCAUAAAUGAAAUUUAUUGUACAUACAACUUUAUUCAUACUCAUAACAAUUACAGGUACACUAAUUUGGACCUAAGAUCCAAGAAAAUUCAAAGAAACUCCCAUGACUAAAAACUAUAAUGAAAUCUCUUGAAAACACCUUCUUCGCGGUACCAAUAUCUUCUCAAAGAAAUACUCCAAAGACUUCGAUAAAGAGGCUGCAAUUGGAUUGGAGCAACGAUGUUUUCACUCUUUCACCCGCACGAACAUUACCAAUAAUGGUUUUUAAAAGCCUCUUGAGUCGCCCAUCCAUCGAUGAACAAAAUUUAUUGUAAUUAUAGGAAAUAAAAUUAGCCUCAACCUUCUAGCCCAGUGACAGAUCAGGCUCCACCUUUCAGCCCGGUUAAAGAUCCAGGCAGAAGCCCAUACAGCGUAGCAACAAAGUCCUUUUUUUUUGCACGUCUCAUUUUCUGCAAGGAAAAAAAUGCACGCCAAUAUAUAUAGAAAUAAAAAUAAAUAAUAAUGGAGAUGGGAGGUAUCGAUCCCCCUGCCUUUCAAGAUGCGUCUUAAAUGCUCUACCAUUUGAGCUACAUCCCCUUUGACUUUUGUAGGAUAAUCAAGCUAUUAGACUAUUAUGUGACCUCCCAGAAGAAAACUCCACGGCAACAACAAAAGGAUGAUUAGACUAUUAUGUGACCUCCUAGAAAAAAGACUAUUUUCUGACGAGUACGUGCUUUGAAGAGCAUUUGAGAAGCUAUUUUCUAUUCUCUAUAAAAGAUAAUAUUUUACGUGGUAUUGUCAAUCUAGACCGGGACUCCGACAAUGUAAAAAACAAGUUGUCUUGAUGUUUGCAAUGAUGUUUUUUUUGCGGGGACAUACCGAGAACCAUCUUUUACAGGGGAAUCCGAGUGAUAAAUUGUAUGGUAUAUAAAUUCUGAAGAUUCGUGUACCGUCUCUAGUUUUAAAAUGGUUUUAUAGAAAUUGAGUAGGUGCAUGGCCCCAACUCGGCUGAACAUGGUUCGCCCCUUGGUCUUUUUAAUGUGUUUCUUGCAUAAUAAGCCGCUUAUUUAUGUGUUCUAAACCAAAACUAUGGUGUAGCACGUGUUGCAACCAAUUUUCAUAGUUUGUCACACUGAAUGGAAACUCGUUACAUACGCACUUACGAUACAAUCUUUGUCACAGAGUUUGGGAAUAUGGAUCAGCCUCCAGCAGAAGCUCAUCCACAGUCCCAACUCCCAACACAGUUUUCUUCUUGUUGGUUACCGGUCUCAUAUUCUACCGAAAAAAGGCCGGCAAAAUAUAUUUAAAAUGGUAAAAAGGAAACGGUUUAUCAGAUGGGAAGUAUAUGGAUCAAGGCUGAGCCCACUUUCCCAGUCACGACUUACGGAUGGUUCCUUUGUUCCUUACAUAAAAAUGUAAUGAAUUGUGUAAUAGCUUCAUCAUUGACGAGGUUUGUGACAGAAGAUCAAUUAAGCUGAUUUCUGAGAUCAUCUCAAACCAGAAAAAUCUAGGACACUAGAGACUAGGCUAGAGCCAAAUGUUUCGGUCUUUAUUAAAGAGGUGAACUGGGGGCAAUCUUUUUGACCCAGCUAAAAGUUUGCUGAGAAGUCGUGGGAACCGAUGGUAGAAGGGACCAAAACUGGCACUCAAGAUAAUUCUGAAGGUCCAUAAGAACACCAUUUAAUCUUGAGUUUAAUGUUUUGCUACAACGUCAGACCAUACGUCUGAACCUUUCCAAGGAAGGUGACCUGACACUACGCUAAAAAAAAGAGAUUGUACACCGAGCAACAUAAUCAGAAAUUGCUUUUCAGAUGCAUAACAACAAAUGGACAAGUAUUAGUAUGCUAAAUUUUGUGCUGAAGAAAUGCUCCCGAGAAAAGAUGGACAUGCUUCCAAUGUUGUCCAUGUAGUGGUCAGAAAGGUCUUUGCUUGUCAACUGCUUGCCCUGUACUCCUGCAAAAGGUUAAACGUACGAAUUAAUGCCCUUGCGAUCAAACAAUGUUGGUGGUAACAACCAGUGACAGAUAUAUCUAGAACACUGAAAGUUUAUAGUCAUGAUAAUCACAAGAGCGGCGGAAACGAAAACUAUGACUCGAGUCAAAUGGAACAAAAUAUAUGAAGUUUGUAUGCCUACAUUAUCCAAUAUCAGCGAGAGGAUGCUCAAAAGGUAAAUAGUUAUCAAGAAAAAUGUGUGGUUCAAGAUAUUGAUACUAUAGAAAUCAAAAAACCCCAUUCGGCACAAUCAAGGGAAUAUUAUGAAGAUAUACCCCCACAGCAAAAUCCCACAUCAAAAUACAACUGAUAAUCAACUUGUUGUAAAUGUUCAUUUUUAGAGCGGGGGCAUGUGGCAUGAGGAAGAAAUGAGAGUCUUGGCGUGUGUAGAGUGAGUAUGUAGCCAGUUAACAGAGUCUCUUUUUUACAAUCAUCCAUUCAAUGGAAGUGGGUGCAAAUAUUGUACCAUAACAGUGUCGAGGAGAACCUUGGCUUCAUUGUUGGUGUUGAAGUGGUCACGAACAGGCUGAAAAAUACAAAGCCGUAUUAGCAUAACCAAAUCUAUACAUGAAUAAAUAUGAGGCAUUGUAAAUUAUAUCUAUAAAAGAUGAACUUGACUGAAAAUAAUAGAAAGGUUUCCAGAUUCAAAAUCACUUUACUAGGACACAUGAUUGACACCAAACAAUAAAAGCAAUACAUCAGUACUAUUUGUCAGGAAGGAAUCACACAAACUGAGAAACGCAGUGAUGCAAUGAUAGAAUAAAUAGCAACAAAAGCUAUCUCAAGCAUUACAAAAUCACAGUACAAUCGACUAAACAAUUAAUAAUGAGAAACAUAGUGCUCAAUGAACUAAAAGGCCAAAAAAAGCUGGUAAUGCUCAAAGAGUGCAUAAGUUAAUGACUAGUGAAGAAGUGCACGACAAUAUUGGGAAAAAAUGUGAAAAAACAAUACCUUCAAUAUUUCAUUGAUUGCUUUAGCCAAAGAAGUUUUAACGUCGGCGGGAUGCAAAGUACCACUCGUAUAAUCAACAAUGAGUUCAUCCAUGCUUAAAAAUGUCCUGUUUAAAUAGCAAUCAUUGUUAUAACUCCGCAGAAAAAAAACUCAAUAGUACAUAAUUUUCAACAUAGAUAACUUAGAGGGAUGACCAUGUGUUUAUUCAACAAUCAUAGUUAAUGGUGGCAUAGACAUCUAUAUAUUAUCAUAUUAUAUGGUUCUAUCUGAUAAUCUACUCUAAGUAUGAGUUUCAAACUUUUGGUGGUCCAAGAAAAGAAUAUUACUUGUUACCGCCAUUUCUUUCUUUCCGAACCACCUCAAACUUGUCAAACCAAGGGAAAACAAUGUAUUUGAUGUACUCUAGGCAUGGAUUUCCGUCAACAAUGUUGGAAUUUUCGUCAACAGUGUUGGGAGGAGGAGGAGGAGGGCAGAAAGCUUGAUUUAUUUUCAAUUUCACCUGAGCCUGCAAUAAAUUUGGUUACAAACAAUAUCAGCUUAGAGAAAUGGCAAAAGUUCACAAAUAAAUGUUAGUCUAUAAAUCCAAAGUUAAAAUCAGAUUGAUAAAAAAUGACUACAUGCCAUCUAAAAGAUCAAUUGAACAACAAACAUAAACUAUAAACAAAUGGUAAAUACAGUGCAAACCAGACUAAAGUGGUAGUAGAACCUUUUUAAAAUACUGGAAAUCCAAGGUUGGAUGGAAGACAAAGACAAUACCCUACAAUACUAUUCCUAGCCGAGGAAUGGACUAAAUAGGUAUAUUUCAAAAUUCAAACACCCCAUAUGAGGUUGAAUGGACUAAAUAGGUGUCAUAAGUUUUGGAAACAAAUAAAGAUUGUUAGUGAAGAGAAAAUGACAUGAGAACCUCAUCAUCUUCCAUAAAGAUAGCUGAUGUUGGAUCACUUUUUGACAUCUUCUCCUGGCCUUGUUUGAAACCGGGGAGCAUAUCUGUGGUUUAUGUUAAGGAACAAAUGUUUUUGUACAGCCUGGCAAUUAACCACUAUUUUGGAAUUCUAAUACCAUAAUCACUGAGACACAGAUAUCAGCGAUAAUAAGAAGUAAAAAGACAAUGUAGAAAAAACAAUUUUACAGCAGAUCAGGAUACGAUGUGACAGAAUAAUUGGUUUGUUCUUCCUCUUGAUGUCAUCACAGUAUUCCCUCGCUAACAUGUUUACCUUCCUUUGGUCCAUGCCCAACUGACAUAUGUCCGCCUGCACACGGCAACAGACUAGAGAAAAUGAGUUACAAUCCAGAAAUCUGGAAUAAAAGUAUACCACACUACAAUGUCGGGUGAAAUCAGAAAAUAUCAGUAACCUUAUUUACAUUAUGUAAAUACUAACUUUGAUUUUACCCAGGGUUGUCCGCGAUAUGAAUAUACUAACCUUCAGGAAGAAUAUGUCAGCACACUGCAUGCAAGGAUAGAAGAUCUGUGCAGCAGUUAGGUCCUCACUGUCAGCGCGGCCCAUAAUCGUACAACACGUGUGUGUGCAGUAAUUAAGGAAAAAUGAGAUAACUAAUGUAUCUUUGAUAUAGUUCAAGCUUUGGAGUCAAGAAUCACUUGAAUGCAUAUGCAGUACAAGUGGCUGUACCUUGUUAUUCGUUUGACUUUAUUUCUCCUGGCAAUGUCCAUUACAAGUGGCCAGUAUUCACUUGCACGCUUAUUGAUUUCUUCCGAAGACCAUAAGAAUUCAACACCGUCCAGGUUCAUACCGGCUGCUUUCCAUAUUUCGAUCAUGUAGCGCCCGACGGUCUGGAUUUUCUCCAGGUCGCCGCCCAUCUUGUUGUUUAGUUGCGCAAACCAGUCUGCUAUCCAGAUUUUCACCUUGCAUCCCGCUCUGAUCAUCUUGUUAACAUUAAUUGUCUUCACAAUACCCUGUGAAUACAACACAUGAGAAUGUCUGUCACCUACCCGCAAAAGAGAAGAAAAUAGAAUGUCUGUCACCAGCAAGUCCGGCUCAGGUCUUGCAAUCUGAGACAAUUUGCGUAUGCUUCUCACACAUGACUAAAGCAACAAUUUUAACAAUGUUGUGUACUGGCUUCGAUCAUAAUCGUGGAAGCAUACCCAAGAAUUGCGAAGGACGUACGUGUAAGAUUAAAUAUUUAUUUAUACUAGCAUGUAUAUUCUUACUACUGUUAGGGCAAUGAAACAUGGGAGCAAUGAACCCAAAACCUGCUGGCGCAUCCAUACAAUUACCAGUCAGUCAGGAUAGUGCUCCUUAAUUUUUCAGGAGCUUUUUAUUCUAACAAUCUUAUUCCGUUCUCUAUCAUAGACUUCGGUUUCGGUUUGCAAGAAUAAGAACCACCCAUUGACCCAUACACCUAUAAUCAACACAUGACACUUAACCAAUAUUAUCCAUGCAAAUAUACAAUGAGUAAGAGUUAAAAAAAUUAGGCUAGGCCUGGUUUUAUGAAAAAACCUAAGCUAGGUUAUAUCAUGCCAACUGAUAAAUUAAUUUGGGUACCGAUCGAUGGCUAGUAGACACGAGAAUGCGGUGUGGAAUCGGAACCUGAGCGACGUGCAUGCGGCCGGAGGGCUCGAAUCCGUCGUAGCAGAUGGGGACGGGCUUGUGUUGCAGCAGCUGCCUAAACUCAUCUUCCUGGAUGCACUCCUCGCCGAUGCUCAUCAGCAGGUCGAACCGCUCGUCCAGGCUCAUGCUCAUCCCAGCCACGGCUUCGGUGCCGGCGGAGGCGUUGGCAGCCAUGGAAGGGUCGGUUGAUGCGGCGGAAGAGGAGGAGACGUCGGCAGCCGCGGAAGGAUUCGGUCGAUCAGGAGAGGCGAUAGAAGGUGCCGGCCUAGGGUUUUAUUACGUACUAUACUCUUUUUCGAUCGAGAGACAGGAUGUCGUACGUUCCUUACGUGGCCGCUACUUCAUAUUCUCAACAAUGCCGGGAACACGCGGGUCCCUACUUCAAAACCAGUCAUGCAAAAAAAAAAGUUUUCCUUCCCCACUAAAUAAUAACUUUAUGGUAAUGCUAACCGGCAAACGUUCGCCGGGAAAGAACUUCGAACUAACGAAGUCGCUGCCUUUUGAUCAAGAAUCGAUCAAACUGUAAAUACAUUUAGUGGGGUUUAGGGUGUUGAAGUCUUCUUCAUUCUUCCAUCGGCGGCGUGUGCGUGGGCAAACCUUGUUGCCACCUCCGAACCUCUGUCUUAGUGAAGCAAAUUUGUUUAAACCCCAAUAAUUUGUAAAAACAGUGACGAGGAAGUCAUCAAUGUAGACCGGAAGACGCCGACGACCACGAUCUGUGUAGCAAAUCGCCGUCCAAGGAAAAAAAGACAGAGAGGGGGCCUAUAGAAAGCCUUAGUUAUGGCAAAACAAUGUCGGAGAACACAAACCACUCUCGCUCCCCGACGAGGGCAUGUUUUUUUAGAAAAGGAGGACCCCCGGCCUCUGCAUCUAGGCGAUGCAUACGGCCAUUUUAUUAAUUAUUCUCAUAAGACCUUACAAAGUAAUACCACAUUAAGACUAAAGUUACCAUCUAAGCAACAAACUGUCGCUACACCUAUAUAUCCAGUUGAUGAAGGGACGCAGAUAGCCUGGGCCUAAUAUCAAACAGACAUCGCAGCCAAACCUAACAUCUAAGACCCGAGGACCCAUCCAGGACGCCUGCCGGGCAUGGGUCUCGCGCGGUCCGGCGUGUUCUCAGAGGCCGCCGCCGCCAACUGCCACCGCUCCAUCUUCAGAACUGUACUGAUGCAUCAACCUUGUUUGGUCUAGCUAUCGUCGACGCCACCACGGCGCCCAAUGGCACCUCCCUGUGCGCAAACAGCUGAGCACGUCGCGGUCGCCACUGAUACACCUCAGCACCAUGCUGCCAAGUACCACCAGCCGACACGGCUUGAAAUCUUUGAAGAAUCUGUCGUGCGUACCACCUGCCGACCAGGCAGGACAAAGCGUAGCCCCUGUCGGUCAGGCAUGACUUGAUAUCUUCACCGAAGCUCCAUGCAAGACGAAGCCGCUCCACCUCCUGCCUCUGACUUCCAGCGCUGCUCCACAAACAAUGCUCCCAAGAGAGAAACGACACCGCAGUGCCGCCAUCGUCCGAUCUGGAACAUCAUAUCCUAGGGUUUCCCCCAGAGCAGCACGAAUGGGUCGACAGUACUUACACGACGAUGCCUCCAUCAAGGUAACGGCGUAGAACGUCACCAUCGCCUGCCAACGGCUCGGUUUUCACCGGCAACCAUGUUUCCCCAACUCGCAGCCGGGACUAGAUGAUGGAUCCCGAGAUCCGAUCACCAAGCCUCUGCCCGGCCAUCUCUGACGAAGAAGAUGACCACCACCAUUGGCCAGCGAGACGACGCGAAAUGAAGUAGGGAGCUGCCAGCGUGCGUCCUGGCCAGCACCACUGGCGACCGGCCCGUCCCGGACCACGCCUCAUGACCGAGGGCAACGGCAAGCGCUGCCACUACGAGGACGCAGACCGGAAGUCCAGAUCCGACCCACCCGCGCGCCGCCACGUGGCCACCACCAAGCGCCGUUCAGGGGUAGCCCCGCCGCCAUGAGGGACGCCGCCCCAUGGGCAGCAGGCGCCAGCCACCGGCGGAACUCCGCCGCGCGCCACCGGCCGCCGCGAGAUCGCCAUCGGCCGUCGCGAUAUCUGCGCGAGAAAGACGAGGAUGCCCCGUCACCACCUUCCCUGGGGACCUCGCGGGCUUCGCCGGUGUCCCCUCCGGCGACGGCGAAGCGGGAGAGGAGCGGGGAGGGGCGGCUGGCGGCGCUGUUAGGGUUUCCCCCGUGCGCCAGAGGCAACGCGUGGGGGACGGGCGGACCUACCAACUUAAAAGAACGGGGGGACGAGGCCAUGUUUGACCAACCUUCAUUUGUCGGAACUAGAGACAGGGGACCAACAUGUACGUACACCCACGUUUUCCACUCCACAAGACAGUGCAACCGAGACAAACCUGCAGAAGAGAACGCAGGACCCCAAAGAACUAGCUUCGAGGACACACAAUCUUCAACACGCCUCCUGACGAUACGAAGAAGCAUCACCGAAAUAAGGGCAAGGUGGGGAGAUUUUAUUCCACGCAGACAACCGCACCAUCAUCUCACCACCGUUCGCACCUACCUAAGGCCCAAAAAAGGAAACCUAUUGUUCCCACCGGUAGAUCAGGGACUCCCCGCACACCCUCACCAAUGGAGUUGGAGAGAAGAAGGAGGCGGCGAUCUACCGACAAAAGAGGAUGACGACGGGGAAGAAACCCUAGGUCAUUUUGGGAUGGGGCUGCGUCGCGCGAUCUUAAACGACACACCCCUUUUUUAAUAAAUGAGUAAGACUUUUAAAUGAGGAGAAAAAUCUCUAUUACUAGUAUUCUGGAAAAAAAUUAUAUGAGACCAGGUCUCACAGUUAGCAGGUGAGACCCGCCCUGAUAAAAUGACACGUGACAUUCACAAAUCCUAAACUCCCCCCCCCCCCCCCCCCUGAUUUCAAGUGAGGGUGAGGUAGAUGCUUUGUGAUUUGUGAAUGUCACGUGUUAUCCAUCAGGAUGUGUCUCGUGUGAGACCUGAUCUCAUAGAAUUCUUUUCCUUGUAUUUCCAACCCACCAGAGGGAUCCACCGUGGAUGACUCCUGACAGGAUGUUGCUGCCGGGUCAGGUUCUUCUCUUCAUCGAUUAGCUCCUUUUCUUUGGAACUUCCAUCGACUAGCUCCUGGCCAUGAAGAAAAUGCUGAAUGAACAUGUGCGUAGUCAUUUUUUUAGGCAAAUAUGUGCGUAGUCAUGGGACUAUUGCACUGUCACGAUACGAUACAAUGUUGACACUAAAAUUCCAUCUUCCGGCCCAAAUAAAGAUACUUUUGUUAAAUUAACUGGGCCUGCACCUUCCAGCCCAGUUAAAGGUCGAGGCAGAAGCCCAUGGAGCGUCUGACACAGUUUUUCCUUUCUUUGUACACGUUAAAACAAAAUUUAAAUUUUCUACAGCAAAAUAAAUCGUUAGAAAACCAAUAAAUAAAUAAUUUGGAGAUGGGAGGUAUCGAUCCCCCUGCCUUUUAUUAGCGUCAUAAAUGCUCUACCAUUUGAGCUGCAUCCCCAUUGAUAUCCAUCUAAUUAAUGAAAGCAAUAGUAGUAUCGAUCAAUUAGCAUUAAUAAAUAUACUACAGAUGGUUCCUACACACGGAAACUAAAACUGAACUUUUUUUAGAAAAUAACAGCAAAAAUGUCAGGCUCCAGAAAAUCGGAAUAUACACUUAUACUCCCUCCGUUCCUUUAUAUACUGUGUAUUUGUUUUUGAUAAAAUUCCAUAAUAUAAAGUGCAUUUCUUCUAAUUCCUCAUAAUUCCGUCGUUAGUCCUUUAAAAAAGGAGAGUAUCUCUCCCCUGAUUGCUAGCAUCUCUUCUUAUAAAGAGAAAAAAGAAAGUAUCUCUCUUCUAAUUGUGUUUAUCUCCUACUUUCCUUGCAUUUAGUUGCCGCUAAUCAAUGACUUUGCCAAGGUUAAUUUUCUCUUAACAUGUAUAUAAUUAUGUGUCUUGGUCACCGUGCCAGAAAUAAUAUACCUUACAUAAAGGAAUGGAAGGAGUAUCAAAGAAGAAGGGCUUCCAAGUCAACUCAAGACAAGUAACCUCCCAGUGGAUUCACAAAAAAAAUCACCUUCGGAGCUACUGGGCAUAGUCCGUGUCAACAGAGACGGCACCAACGGUGAUGACGUUAUCACGGGCUUUCACCUCCUCAGCCUUUCCCAACAUUCCUCGCCUAUUCUCAACCGGCGACACUAUGCCCUAGAACUCCUCACUCACAAGCAGCACGGCCAACAGGUCGCCCCGCCUGGCACGGUCGAGCUGGACAAAGUACAAUGUGUCCUCAUGCGAAUUGUUGCCCGUGGCAUACUUGGCCUUCACCGUCUCAUCCUCUUCGUCCUCAACAUAUGCUUUGUAUGUGAGCCGAAGGAGGACCCCACCGGAUGACCGCUUCCUGAAGAAGCCCACCAUCCAUAUUAAUUACAUGACAAUCUUUGAGUGAUGGUAGAACUUUAACCGAUUCCAAAUUGGUUCUCCUGGUAGGCCAGCCAUAGUUGUUUGACUGCCGGUGUACUCUUGCUCUUUAUGACUUGAUCACCAAGAAUCAUCAACAUGAAAGAGAGGCUGCAAGUGAAAUGAAACGUCUAAACUUUCGCCAACAUGAAGUGAGAAACAUGAGUUAAGUUUUUAUUCCUUUUUUAGCUUACGUAAGUGUGGUUUUAUUAAUGAAUUUAAUUGAAUCUGAAUGAUGCACCACUCAAUAGAAGCACCACCUCUCGACAUCUUGUUUGAUAAGCGGAAUUUUGAUCCAGGCGCCCAAGUGUUGCGUAACCGUUCGACCAGAUUCCCCGCUCUAAUUAGAGGUUAAAAAUAGAUUAGUGUCGGAUGUGGAAAAGGUUGGGUUUUCCUAUGAGUGGGCCCUUCGAUCAUGAAAGUAUUUCCAUUGAUAUACUAGUACUCUAAUAUAGACCUAAGCACAAAUAUCUCAACCAUAAUAUCCAGGAGCAAUAUGGACUGGUUAGAGCUAUAACUAUUUCAGUCCUUAGAGGGCUGGGUGGGAGCAACCUUUUUUGACCCAGCUCAAAGUUUGCCUACCUAUCGUACUCUAACAGUCUAAUUGCAGAAAAUUGUUAGAGCACUUUCUUGAUAUAAUUUUUUUGCAGGAAAACUUUGAAUCUAUUAAUUUUUCAAUUAUGGCAGUACCACAGACAAUAUAAAUAAAAUAUUGGAUCCACAGAAAGAAUUGGAUCUCGACUCUAGACUAAAUAUGAAGAUUGUAAAUCAUAGACAAUUGAAAGCAAAGAAUCAUUACCGAACAAGACAAAAGCUAAGAUUUCUACCAUCAACCAGCAUCACUCAUGGCUCAUGUUACCCCCAGAAAAAAAAACUUUUCUCUUUCCCACAAAAAAUAUAUAAGCCAUAUAAAAGUAGACCAAAUUUAUAGAGAAAAAUUAUCAAUAUCCAUAAUACCAAAUCAAUAUAAUUAUAUCUAAGAAAUGUGUUUUCAUGAUUUAUCUAUCUGGUAUUGUAGGUAUUUUUUGAAAAAACAACUUGGUCAUAUUUUUUAAUGUUUGAGUUAGCACCAAAUGACAUGCCCAGUAUUUUUGGAAAGAAAUGAGUAAGAUUUAAGUUAGGAAAAAAUGAUUUCACUAUUAGGUUAAAGGUAGAUCUUUCUAACCAAUCAAUAUAUCUAAAAGAAAAAAUAGGUAAGUGGUUAAAAACCCCACAAAAAAUUUUCUUCCAUAUCGAGGCAAGUUUGUGCUUUGAUCAACCAUCUCAGAUGAUAUUUCCUUUUCUAGCAAAAUGAUAUUUCAUGAAGUACUAUCGGCAAUCUAGACGACUUGGACAUUAUGUCGCAAUAGGUGUUUUUUGCAUGAGCGGUCCUAAAAGCAUUUUUGACGAGGUAGGAGGGGGAGACAAUGAUAUGAAUUGUCUUCAAAAUAAAAUCAGGAGAUUAUCAUAUCUUUUAUCAAAUUUUAAAUGGAUUUUAUUGAAUUUCUAGAAAUUUAGUAGGUGCAUGGCCUGCACAUCAGCACAUGGGUCCACGCCUGGUUUUCUUUCAUUCUGCCCAGCAUAUGUAUUUUAUAGUUUGUGUCUGCAUGUAACUAUUUUUUAGGAUACAAUGUUUUUUGUUGCAGUUGUGCUUUUCUACCAGUAUUAUUUUUAAGAAGCUUCUACAACAGUCGCACUGGCAUUUUUUAAGGUUUUUUUUUCGAGAAUCAAUUUUUGUGAGGGGUAGGUAGUCGCACUGGCAUGAUACGCUACGAUGUUGACACUGAAAAUCCACCUUCCGGCCCAAAUAAGGAUUCUUUUGUUAAAGUGGCUGGGCCUCCACCUUCCAGUCCAGUUACACAGAUCCAGGCAGAGCACGCAGUUACAAAUUCCACCUUCCGGCCCAAAUAAGUAUUUUUCUCUCUCUUUCUUGCCGGUAAAAUAUUCUUCAGCAAAAAUAUUAUCAAAAUAAAAUAAAAUAAGAAAAAUAAUUUGGAGAUGGGAGGUAUCGAUCCCCCUGCCUUUUAUAAGCCGUAUAAAUGCUCUACCAUUUGAGCUACAUCCCCGUUGAUACCAAUCAUAUUAAUUAGAGCAAUUAAUAUCAACUAAUUCUGAUUAAUAAAUAUAUGUACGAAAGAUAAACGGAUUGUUCCUUCCACGCAUACAAAAAUGGAGAUAUACUUCUUCCAUCCGAAAAUACUUGUCAUCAAAAUGGACAAAAAAAAGUAUCUAGAAUUAAAAUACAUCUAGAUACAUCACUUUUUAUUUAUUUUGAUUACAAGUAUUUCCGAACGGAGGGAGUACAUACUUCAUAUACUGAAACUAAAUAGCCUCCAAAAAAUCUGUCUUCGGAUUUUCACAUGAUCACUCUACCAGGGCCAUAUUUGAAGCACCGUAGGCAAAGAAUAGAGAGAAUUCCUUAUUUAACACGGUCCUUAAAUUUUAUGCCCUAUUUGAUAUCGACAAAUUAUUUUUUCCCUAUCUAACACCGAUUCUAAAUUUUAUGCCUUUUAUGACACUUCUGUCCAUUUUAAGCCUUAGUGACACAUGAAAAGACCUUUUUACCCUUCGCGCGGUAUAUUUGUGCACGUGUGUGCUGUUGUGUGUGCGUGAAGGGUGAUCAGCAUUGCCGGUUAAUUAGAUUUGAAAAAUCACUAGUAAUCUAGCUGGGACGUAUACGUGGCAGGGCAGCACUCCGGAGUCCUAUUCGUGUUAGUACUAGCCUACUAGGUAAGCCCUAUACUAGCUUAGUUAGCUUUGGGUGUAUGCGUGUCCGUCUAGGUCUAGGUUUAUUUUGAGUCACUUUUCCGUGCACGGUCUAUACGGUCAGAUUUGUAGCACAGACAAAUUAAGAAAAUAAAGAUAAACGAGGGCACCACAAUGCCCCUUGGCUAUCAGUUUUUUGUAUGCAUGUGUUCGCCUGAAUUGAUGUGAUCAAUCAUGUGGCGAAUUUACAACAGUGUGCGUGUAUGUUGUUGUGUGUGUAUGUGUUGAUGCGUGUGUGCUACUGUCAUUGCUUGUGUGUGCACUACUGCCCCGCACUGCCUGCACACGCACAUACCACAUGAGGGGCAAAAAGAUCUUUUCAGAUGUCAUGUAGGCUUAAAAUGGACGAAAGUGUUAUAAAAAGCAUAAAAUUUAAACUCGUUGUUAGGUAGAGAAGAAAUUUGUUUCCAGUGUUAAAUAAGGAAACAAAAAUUUAAGAUGGUGUUAAAUAAGAAAUUGUUUCCAAAGAAAAAGGGCUUUCCAAAUCAGCUCCCGGGCAACAUAGACACACCCCCGCACAUGAAACAAGCAAAGUUCACACCCCAACGUAGACACUCCUCGCUCAUGAGCAGCGUGACCAGGAGCUCCAUUAAGGUCUCCAUCUCAUUCUCGUUGAACUCAUCCUGCCUGGCACUGGCACCAUGAUGAGCAGCUCAAGAUCUACUCGUUAUUUGACUCGGCUCGAGAUCGACUCGAAAAGAAAUGAGCUGAGUUUGAACAUUUUUUGUAGCUCGACCAAGAAAACGAGCCGAUCUUGAGCCAAUAUUGGCUCGCUUGAUUUUAGCUCGAUUGCUUGACAUAUUAUAUUAAAUGAAAAUAAAAUAAUUUGUUACCAUAUAUGAGGCCCAUGAUUUUUCUCCAAUUUAUUUACCAGCAAACAUGGAAGCUUAAUUAAGUGUGGAGAAGGUUUUGGCCUAAUUAUUAUGGUCUUAAUUGGAAUAAUAUUUUUAGUGCUUUCUUAUGUUAUGUUGUGCGUUAUCUAGUUGGAAUAAUCGUCAUAGAUUUAUAAUUUUUACUGUCUCAUUUAGCUCGAAAAUAGCUCGAGAUCGUUACAAGUUGAGCACGAGCCAUAUUCUAUAGCUCGAUCUUGAGCUUCACUUAGUUUGAGCUCGCUCGAAUUAUAAUAUGAGUUGAGCUGAGCCAAGUCCAACUCGCUCGAACUCGACUCAUUUGCAACUCUACCUGUAGCCAGUUGUCCUUUGCGCGUGAGUCGGCAUAUGGAUGGACGGCCCUAAAACCGUUGUGGUGCUACGGUACAAUGGUUCUGCCUCUUUCAUCCUACCCGCGGGUAAUCCCUUACUGAGCCUACUCAAGCAAUCUUCCAUUAGCCGCUCUUUACUUUAUAGUCAAGCAAUUAUAAACUCCUUAUUUAGGAUAUGGUUGAAGCCUUGAAGAUGCCUGCUUGUCGGUAUCAUGGUGUCCCGAAAGCGACGGUUUCUCUUUGCUAGAAUCCGAGGUAACGGCUGUGGAUGACGAGGUUGCACGGUUGGCUCGACGACAAGCAUCAUUGCAGUGGUGGUGGCUCCUCUUUGCUAUGCGGGUAGCAGGGGGAGGGGUAGCAGGUGAUCUUUGGUGUCAUCAUGGCUUCGCCUGUGGCAGCUCCCUGAUUUGGAUUUGAACGCCUUGUGCUGAUGGCGUCCCUUCCCUCGCGGUUUGGGUCAACAACCACUACUAGGAAAAACCUUAUAUACAAAAUCUUAAUAACAGCGCGGCAUAAAAAGAAGCGCUACUGCUAAUUAGCAGUAGCGCAGGUUUUUAAACCUCGCUACUACUAAGUUGAUAGUAGUAGCGCGGGGUUUUAACCCUCGCUACUACUAAGCAGUCUCUACCGUGCCCCCGACACAUGCCAUAGUAGUAGCGCGGUUUUAUACCCCUCGCUACUACUAAGUACGAGGUAGGUGAAGUCGCCAUAUACUCAGCCGAAUCCCCAUCUCAUCUUCCAAAUCCCUCCUCUCUUCCACCAUUCUCUCCUCUUACUUUCCAUACGCUCUCACAUGGAUCUCUUGCCCAUGCGCCCAUCCAUCUCCGUGGCGCCGAAAGAGGCCGCCGCCUCGCGCCACCGGCGUCUAGGAGCUCGCCGGUCUUCCACUGACGUCUAGGAGGCCGCCGCCCCGCGCCACCACACUAGAGCACCUCACCACCGGUGACUAGCUCCGCUGCUCCCUACAUCACCUUCCUCUCUCCCUCGGUUUUCCUUUCCUCUCUCUCCCUCUGGUUUGACUCACCCUACCAUGUCCACCAUGUCCAUGCCCAUGCAGGUCGUCGCCAUGGACGACCCGGAGCUAUCUGGCAUGGUCAGGAAGAGGAGCCCCACGCCGCGGCCUGGCUCUGCCAUAGAAACGGGCCCUCUCCAACAGCCACUGCUGGAUCUGGUCUUCCGUUGUCCGUUCAUGCCUCCUGUGACGCCAAACAUCGCUAGAUCGAACCACUGCUACCAUUGACAACACGCACGGGAUCGAGAUUUUUUUUGUUUUUGAAAGUAAUAGCAGUAGCGCAGGAUAUAAGACCCGCUACAGCUAAUCAGCAGUAGCGUUGUUUGCAACACACGCUACAGCUAACCAUGUAUAGCAGUAGCGUGUGUCAACACGCGCUACUGCUACAAGUUAGCUGUGGCGCUGUAUCAGUAGCGCGGGCACCCCGCGCUACUGAUACACCCAAAACCCGCGCUGCUGCUAGGCUUUUUCCUAGUAGUGAACCUUGGUUUCGUGGGUGGCACUUGUGAGGGUACAGUCUAAGAAAAAGAUCCAAGCUUCAAUGCCAGUGCUGGCGACGACGACACAUGUGGGUGUCGCUUCCCUCUUAAGGCAUUGUUGUGGGUCCCCUCAUGGUCUUGGGCUCUGGGGUGAAAACCUUAGUCAACCCUCUUGGGCUCGACAAUGGCGGCGCUUGGCGUCAUUACCCUUCUUGAGGGCGUCGUCGACCAGGACCCUUUCCAAAGACCACCUUCAAAUCCUUGACCAUAUCAUGUACAUCAGCACCAGUACGGUGGCGAGGCUUCGUCCGGUGAUCCGCCUCACCUUUGAAAUGCUUGCCUUUCUUUCUUACGGGAUGCCUGCUCGGAAGAAAUCGACGAUGUCCCAGGUACACAUUCUUCUUACAAUUAGCCAAAUAUAUACUGUCGGUAUCGUCCAAACAGUGCGUGCAUGCGCGAUAUCCCUUGUUUGUCUGUCCUGAAAGGUUACUGAGAGCAGGCCAAUCAUUCAUGGUCACGAACAGCAAUGCCUUUAGGUCAAAUUCUUCCCCCAUGUGCUCAUCCCACGCACGUACACCUGUUCCAUUCCACAGUUGUAAGAGUUCUUCAACUAAUGGCCUUAGGUACACAUCAAUGUCGUUGCCGGGUUGCUUAGGGCCUUGGAUGAGCACUGGCAUCAUAAUGAACUUCCGCUUCAUGCACAACCAAGGAGGAAGGUUAUAUAAACAUAGAGUCACAGGCCAGGUGCUAUGGUUGCUGCUCUGCUCCCUAAAAGGAUUAAUGCCAUCUGCGCUUAGACCAAACCAUACGCUCCUUGCGUCAUCUGCAAACUCCUUCCCGUACUUUCUUUCGAUUUUUCUCCACUGCGACCCGUCAGCGGGUACUCUCAACUUUCCGUCUUUCUUACGGUCUUCUCUGUGCCAUCGCAUCGCCUUGGCAUGCUCUUUGUUUUGGAACAAAUGUUUCAACCGUGGUAUUAUGGGAGCAUACCACAUCACCUUGGCAGGAAUCUUCUUCCUGGGGCGCCGGCCCUCGACAUCACCAGGGUCAUUGUAACGCCCUCGAUGCGGCUAUGUCUCCCACGUGUCGAGGCACGACUUAGAGACAUAGGCGCAUGGAAAGCAAUGUCGCAAGUCGGGAAUCAUUACACAACCCAUGUACAUAUAUAAUAUAAAGGGGAAUAAUAUAAUAGUUGGCUUACACUCGCCACGUCACAUCAAAGUACAUAAAAAACAUCCAUCAUACAAUCACUCAUGGCCCGACUACGGCGCCAAAAUAGAAAAGACCCCCAACAAGCGACUAGGCCCUGAAUCUAACCCCGAAUAGGCACCACUACUGAUCAUCAGGAAAAGACACAUAGUAUCGCUGAGAGUCCUCGUCGUACUCCCACUUCAGCUCGAGCGCGCCGUCCGGAGAAGUAUCAUCGGUCCCUGCAUCUGGUGUAAUAGUAAUCUGUGAGCCACAAAGGACUCAGCAAUCUCGCACCCUCGCGAUCAAGACUAUUUAAGCUUAAUAGGUAGGAAAGGGGUAAUGUGAGUGGAGCUGCAGCAAGCGACUAGCAUAUAUGGUGGUUAACUUAUUCGCAAAGGAGAGCGAGAAGAGAAGGCAAAGCACGAGCGGAAAACUAAAUAGAACAGCCUACGCAAACAUAACUCCAACGCCGUGUCCACUUCCCGGACUCCGCCGAGAAGAGGCCAUCACGGCAACACACUCAGUUGAUUCAUUUUAAUUAUUUAAGGUUCAAGUUAUCUACAACCGGACAUUAACAAAUUCCCAUCUGCCCAUAACCGCGGGCACGGCUUUCGAAAGAUCAAUCCCUGCAGGGGGGUCCCAACUUAGCCCAUAACAAGCUCUCAUGGUCAACGAAGGAAUAGACCUCCACCCAGGACCCACCGAUCAGACUCGGUAUCCCGGUACAACAAGAUGAUUCGACAGGUCAAAACUAGUCCAGCAACACCGCCCGAAUGCGCCGAUAAAUCCCGAUAGGAGCUGCACAUAUCUCUUUCUCAGGGCACACUCAGAUGAGACUAGCUACGAGUAAAACCAACCCUCAAGUUUCCCCGAGGUGGCCCCGCAGGCAGCUCAUUUCGGACCAACACUCAGAGGAGCACUGGCCCGUGGGGGGCUAAAAUAAAGAUGACCCUCGGGCUCCGGAAACCCAAGGGAAAAGGAGGUAGGUGGCAAAUGGUAAAACCAAUGUUGGGCAUUGCUGGAAAAGCUUUAAUCAAGACGAACUAUCAAGGGGUUCCCAUUAUAGCCCAACCGCAUAAGGGACGCAACAAUCCGGGAACAUAACACCGAGAUGACGGAAACUAGGGCGGCAAGAGUGGAACAAAACACUAGGCGAGAGGCCGAGCCUUCCACCCUUUACCAAGUAUAUAGAUGAAUAAAGAUAACAUAUCAAUAUAAUGAUAUCCCAACAAGUAAAUAAAGGUUCCAACAAGGAACGACUCCAAUCUUCACCUGCAACUAGCAACGCUAUAAGAAGGGGCUUGAGCAAAGCGGUAACAUAGCCAAUCAAUGGUUUGCUAGGACAAAGGUGGGUUAGAGGCUCAAUCAUGGCAAUUGGGAGGCUGACAAGUAAGUGGUAGGCAUCGUAGCAUUGGCAAAGCAAAAGAGCGAGCAAACUAGCAUAACAAAGAUAGUAGUGAUUUCAAGGGUGUGAUCAUCUUGCCUGCACAGUUGUCAGAAUUGACUGGAUCCUCAAAAGCAAACUCAACGGGCUCCUCGUUAGCGAACUCGUCUCCCGGCUCUACCCAACAACACAAACAAGCAACAAGGAUACAAUCAACCACGUGCAAAGGCAACCAAUAAGAUGCAAAGAUGAUAUGCUAUGCGAGAUGCGAUGCGGGAUGCCAAAUGCAAGAUGUGACAGGAAAUGCAUGAACCUAGCCUCAACUUGGAAAACCAAGUGUGCCACUGGAUAGAGGGGAAGAAAUCCCCUGAAAACGAUAUAAAGAUCAUGGCAAUCGGAGCUACGGUUUAGAAAUGGCAAGCGAGUUACUAAACGAACCGAUCUGCGAUUUACAGCAAGUAGGCUCCUAAAUGCAACAAAAUGAACAUGCUAUAGCCACCCAACAUGAAAACAAAUUGCAUGGCAGUGAUGUACUCAAGAAGCUUAACAAAUCACCAGGACUUAGGCAUAGGCAAAUUCAUCAAUUAAGGGCUUCAAACAAGCAUGACAAAACUGAAUAAGCAAAACAGAUUUCAGACUUAGCAAAAUUAACGCUAGUCUGGAAUUUCAGACCACGAUGCUCUCUUCGGAGCAGCAAAACAACAUGAAGCAAAACCUGAACAUGGCACGUAAGAGCAUGGCAUGGAGCUACUCAACAAGCUUAACAAAACACCCAAAAUGACCUGGGGCCAAAAGGGUUCACAAAAUACUCCACCGAGCACACGAACAUCGAUGAAACACAAUCAGUUUUCAGACGGUGAAAACUGGGACAUGCUGAAAUAUAACUCACGGAGGCAUGUAAACGAGCUCGAUGCACUCACUACGGUGCAAGUCAUGGCAAGGCAAGCAUAUAUCCAAUAAGAAGGCACAAAAUUCUAGCUAGACAUGGCAAGAACAAUGGCAUAGCAUGCAUGGAUCACUAGCAAUAACUCCGGCAAAAUCGCAAAAGAGUUCACGAUCUGCCCAAAACAACAACUAUCCAAAAGUUGAGCUCGAUUGAGUCAACCUAGGGUGCCCCAACAUAACAAGUAAAGACAUGGAUGGAUUAAGCACAACAAGCAUAACAAAUCACUCUUACUGAUCAUCCUCAAAAGAGGCACGGAUCACUAGGAAACAAGCCGGACAUAUAGCAUCGUGAACUAAAACAUCCCAGACUUAGUGAUUUUCACUAAGUCCCUGAAAUCAGUAAACUCAGGUAGCCCUCUUCGCAAGCUUGCACAAGACAACACACACAUCCUAAAAAUGCAUGGGAGGCACCCCUGAAAGAAGACAACAUGCUUAACAAUUCAUCCCAAAGGGGCACAGGCAUAUCAUGCACGGAUUAAACAUGGCAAAAAUGACAAAAGUGCAUGAUGAACUAACGGAUCUGCAAUUUAACUCAUGAUGCCUCCUUCCAACAGCAUUUUGGGCAACAAGAUGACCUUAAAUGCAAAUGAUGCAAUGGAAUGAAAUGAUGUACUCGUCGAGACGAAGAUUUUGACAUAUCAUAUGCCCAAAUCGGAGCUACGGAUGCAAAGAUAUGGCAGGUCAAACAUCGCAUGAAAAAUCACGGAAUUAGGGUUUCGGGGGGAGAGGAGUCAACCGGAUCUAGAUCUGCCGACACUGUAGCAACACUGUAGCAGUCGACCCGGGCUCGCCGGAAAUGGCGACGGCGGCGGCCGGCGUGGAGGAGGGAGGAGGCCGGCGAGGUCCGGGCGAAGGACGNNNNNNNNNNNNNNNNNNNNNNNNNNNNNNNNNNNNNNNNNNNNNNNNNNNNNNNNNNNNNNNNNNNNNNNNNNNNNNNNNNNNNNNNNNNNNNNNNNNNNNNNNNNNNNNNNNNNNNNNNNNNNNNNNNNNNNNNNNNNNNNNNNNNNNNNNNNNNNNNNNNNNNNNNNNNNNNNNNNNNNNNNNNNNNNNNNNNNNNNNNNNNNNNNNNNNNNNNNNNNNNNNNNNNNNNNNNNNNNNNNNNNNNNNNNNNNNNNNNNNNNNNNNNNNNNNNNNNNNNNNNNNNNNNNNNNNNNNNNNNNGGCGGUGGCGCGCGGGGCCCGGUUGGGCGACGGGGAGGGCCGGCCGCGGGCUUCCGCGGGCCGGGGCGGCGGCGGGGGGAUUUUUAGGGUUUCGAGAGGGGGAGAGAGAUCCGAAUUUCGGGGGGUCUAUUUAUAGACAUAGAGGGAGCUAGGAGAGUCCAAAUGAGGUGCGGUUUUCGCCCACACGAUCGUGAUCGAACGAUCGAGACGAUGGAGCUGAGUUUGGUGGGUUUUGGGCCAAAAUGGAGGGGUGUUGGGCUGCACACACACACGAGGCCUUUUCGGUCCCUCGGUUAACCGUUGGAGUAUCAAACGAAGUCCAAAUGACCCGAAACUUGACAGGCGGUCUACCGGUAGUAAACCAAGGUCGCAUGGCAAGUCUCGGCCCAAUCCGGAAAUGUUUAAUCCCCACACACGAAAGAAAGCUAGAAAUGGCCACCGGAGUAGAACGAAGCGCCAGAAUGCAAAACGGACAACGGGGAAAAUGCUCGAAUGCAUGAGAUGAACAUGUAUGCAAAUGCAAUGCACGUGAUGACAUGAUAUGAGAUGCACGAAAACAAAAACAACACACAGAGACAAAGACCCGAACCCGAGAAUUAAAUAUAACUUAAUGCCGGAAACGGCAAGAGUUGGAGUACAAUUCGGGAAGGUUACAUAUGGGGCGUUACAACACUCCACCACUACGAAAAGAUCUCGUUCCGAGAUCUAGGACUGAAAGAACUCUGGGUACUCAGAACGGAGGUGAUCCUCGCAUUCCCAGGUAGCUUCACGGUCGGAAUGGUGUGACCACUUAACUUUGAGAAACUUGAUUGACUUGUUGCGAGUUUUGCGUUCAGUCUCUUCAAGGAUUGCAACUGGGUGCUCACGGUAGGAGAGAUCUUCUUGGAGCUCAAUGUCCUCGAAGUUGACGGUGCGCUCAGGCGUCUUGAAGCACUUUCGGAGUUGCGAGACGUGGAACACAUCAUGAACAUUGGCAAAGGUUGCAGGAAGCUCGAGUUGAUAGGCGAGGUCGCCUCUCUUGCUGACAAUCUUGAAAGGCCCGACGUAUCUGGGGGCAAGCUUCCCUUUGAUACCGAAGCGACGAGUCCCUUUCAUAGGAGAGAUGCGGAGGUAGACAUGAUCUCCGAUCUCGAAGGCCAAAUCACGGUGCUUGCUGUCAUAGUAGCUCUUCUGACGAGAUUGGGCUGCUUUGAGGUUAUCACGAAUGACCUUGCACAUUUCUUCUGCCUCUGUGAUCAGGUCAUUACCCAGCAGCUGACGUUCACCGGUUUCAGACCAGUUGAGAGGUGUACGGCACUUCCUACCAUACAGAAUUUCAAAUGGGGCCUUGCCAGAACUUGCUUGGAAACUGUUGUUGUACGAGAAUUCGGCAUAAGGAAGACAAUCCUCCCACUUCAUGCCAAAGGAGAUAACACAAGCCCUGAGCAUAUCUUCAAGAAUCUGGUUGACACGCUCGACUUGACCGCUUGUUUGAGGAUGGAAAGCAGUGCUGAAGCGAAUGUUGGUGCCCAUGGCCUUCUGAAAAGAAUCCCAGAACUUGGAGGUAAAGAUGCUGCCACGGUCUAAAGAUAUCACUUGAGGAAUACCGUGCAGAGAGACAAUUCGAGAGGUAUAGAGCUCCGCCAGUUGAGCUGCAGUGAUUGACUCUUUGAUAGGCAGGAAAUGAGCCACUUUGGUGAGCUUGUCGAUGACAACGAAUAUAGCAUCAUUGCCACGCUUGGACUUUGGAAACCCAGUCACGAAGUCCAUUUCAAUGUGGUCAAACUUCCAUUCUGGAAUGGCGAGAGGUUGGAGGAGACCUGCUGGCCUUUGGUGUUCUGCUUUCACUCUUCUGCAGACAUCACAUUCAUUCACGAAUUGAGCGAUCUUGCGCUUCAUUUGAGUCCACCAAUAAGUUUGCUUCAGGUCUUGAUACAUCUUCGUGCUCCCAGGGUGGAUGGAGAGGAGAGAGUUGUGAGCCUCAUUCAUGAUCACUUUACGAAGUUCACCUUUGGGCACAACAAUUCGAUCCUCGAAGAAGAGAGUGUCCUUGUCAUCAAGUCGGUAGCACUUGUACUUGGACUGACUCUUUGCAAUACCAAUCUUCACCUUUUUCACCAUAGCAUCAAGAAGCUGGGCUUGGCGAAUCUGGUCUUCCAAGGUAGGAGAAACUUGAAGGUUGGCGAGGAAACCUUGAGGAACAAUUUGCAGAUUAAGUUUGCGGAAAGCUUCACAAAGCUCGGGUUGAUAAGGCUUGAGAAUCAGACUGUUGCAAUAUGCUUUUCUGCUCAAAGCGUCAGCAAUCACAUUAGCCUUGCCUGGAGUAUACUCGAUACUCGGAUUGUACUCUUGAAUCAUUUCGACCCAUCGAGUCUGCCUGAGGUUGAGAUUAGGCUGAGUGAAAAUGUACUUGAGACUCUUGUGAUCAGUGAAGAUGUCCACUUUCCUUCCCAAGAGAAGAUGUCUCCAAGUCAACAAUGCGUGCACAACUGCCGCCAACUCGAGAUCAUGAGUGGGGUAGUUCUUCUCGUUAGGCUUCAACUGGCGAGAGGUAUAAGCAACAACUUUCUUCUCUUGCAUCAGUACUGCACCGAGACCUUGGAGAGAGGCAUCACAAAAGACCUCGUACGGCUUGGUUUCAUCAGGCGGAGUUAGAACUGGAGCAGUGAUCAAUUUCUCUUUCAAAGCGUUGAAAGCAACAUCACACUCCGGAGACCAAACGUACUUGACGUGCUUCUGAAGAAGAUUUGAGAGAGGCUUCGCGAUCUUGGAAAAGUUUUCAACGAAUCUUCGGCAAUAACUUGCAAGACCGAGGAAGCUACGGAGUUGCUUCACAUUCUGUGGAGGUUCCCAAUUAACGAUUGCGGACACCUUCUCAGGAUCCAUGGAAAUGCCCUUGGCAGAGAUAAUAAGGCCAAGAUAAAGAACCUCAUUGAGCCAAAACUCACACUUGGAGAACUUGGCGUAGAAUUGAUGUUCCCUUAGCUUGUCAAGAACCAAACGCAAGUGUUUGGCAUGAUCUUCCUUGUUCUUGGAGAAAACCAGGAUAUCGUCGAGAUAGACCAAAACAAAGUCGUUGGUGUAGGGGUUGAAGAUGAAUUUCAUCAUGUGAGAGAACGUCGGAGGAGCAUUGGCGAGGCCAAAAGACAUAACAGUGUAUUCAUAUGACCCAUAGCUUGUUCUGAACGCCGUCUUUGGAAUAUCUUGUUCACGAAUGCGAAUUUGAUGAUAACCCAUACGGAGAUCAAGCUUGGAGAAUACUUGGGCACCCUUGAGUUGUUCGAACAGCUCAUUAAUGUUGGGAAGUGGGUAUUUGUUCUUGAUGGUCUUCUUGUUCAAUGGACGAUAAUCAACACAAAGUCGGUCCGUUCCAUCCUUCUUCUUCACAAAAGAACACCACAACCCCACGGAGAAGUACUAGGCCGAAUGAGACCCAUUCUUUCUUGCACAUCGAGUUGUUUCUUCAACUCCUUCAACUCUUCGGGGCCGAGCUUGUAAGGCCGUUUGCACACAGGUUCCGUACCGGGCUCAAGUUCAAUAACAAAUUCAACCAGCCGGUUUGGAGGCAUGCCUGGGAGUUCUUCAGGGAAGACAUCUUGAUACUCACAAACAACCGGAAUCUGCGAAAUAGCAUCCAAUUCACCCUUUUCAUUGAGAGAGAACAACCGGAUGGUAUUAUCCCGAGCAGCAAAAACAAUUACUUCCUCAGACGAAUGAGUCAGUUGAAUCUGCUUGGCUGCGCAAUCGAGGUGAGCUUUAUGUUUAGAGAGCCAGUCCAUCCCAAGAAUAAGAUCGAUAUCAGAAUUGCCAAGAACCAUUGGAGAAGCGAGGAACUUGAAAUCACCCAUCAUGAUAGAAAUAUCCGGAAUCAUCAUAGUGGAACUUAGACGCUUCGCUGGAGAGACGACUUGCAUAGCUCUAGGUAAUGCCUUAGUGCUAAAAUUGUUCUCCGAUGCAAAUGGGAAUGACAUGAAGGAAUGCGAUGCACCAGAGUCAAAAAGAACUUUUGUAGGAACAUCGUUAACAGGAAGGUUACCCAUGAUCACAUCUGACGAAUCCUCUGCCUGAGCUGCAUUCACCAUAUUGACCUUGGCGUGCUUGGGAUUAUGCUUGACCACAGCUGUACUUGCCGAUCUGACAGGAGGAGGAGGAAGAAGACGCCUCUGGUUGAAACACUUGUUGGCAUAGUGACCCUUCUGUUGGCACUUGUUGCACGUGACCUCUGAGAGCGGACGGUGGUACGGAGCACUCGAUCUUGAAGCUUGAGACGAAGUCUUGUUCUGAAAGCCUGGGUUGGGUGGGUGGGACGAACCACUGCCACCUUUGCUCUUCUGCUGAUACGGCUGACGGAACGGAGGAGGAGGAAGCCAAUACUUCUGCUGGUUGGCCACUUGAGUAGAGGAAGAAGACGUAGUGUCUCUGACUCGCUUACUGGAAGCAUCACACCUUAGCUGAGCAGCCUCUUGCUUCAGUGCCAUGUUGUAGAACUCAUCGUAUCUCAGUGGCUCGAAGAGGACAAGAGCGAGCUGAAUUUCUUCACGAAGACCACCCCUGAACUGAUAGAUCAUGCUCUUCUCAUCAGGAACAUCCUGCUUGGCAAAACGGGCGAGCUUCUGGAACAACUUGUUGUAGUCAUAGACAGACAAAGAGCCUUGCUUCAGAUUGCGGAAUUCUUCACGUUUGCUUUCAGUCACACUUUGAGGAAUGUGAUGAGCUCGGAAAUCACGACGGAAAUCAUCCCAAUUGAUCAAACGUCCACCUCUGGAAUCCCGGUACUGCUGAAACCACUCUGCGGCCUGAUCCUUGAGCUGGAAAGACGCGAACUUGACAAAAUCUUCAGGUCUGACGUUGCUACAUUCAAAAUGCUUGCCCAGAUCGACUAACCAAUCAUCAGCAUCGGUAGCCUCAACGCAGUUGCUGAACGUCUUUGGACCAUUUGCGAGGAACUGAUUCAGAGUUGCAAAUUGGUUCUGGUUGUUGCCUUGAUUUCCUUGACUGCUUUGAUUCCGCUCUUGGAUGAUUUGCAUGAUCAGCUGAGUAUUUGCAUUAGUAGCAGCCAUCACAGCCUGCCAUGCUUCCGAAGGAGGCGGAGGUGGCGGAGGAUCUUGAUUCUGGUUCUGACUGGUGCUCUUAGCGGGAGCCAUCCUGAAGAGGUUGACCACCAUUAGCACACAAAUAGAGAAAUAUUGAAGGUGAAACCAACGGAAUGAAAAUUGCAACAUAAAGUCUUCACAUCCGAACAAAAUGAACGAAUGCACUUCUCUUGAAGUGGUCACAUCUUCCUAAAUUGCGAAGCCACGAAGAAUCAGGUAGAAGAGGUACAUCAACGAGGGAUGGAAUCAACAUAUGACGUCGAAGAAGAACGAAUACCACAACUCGAAAUAAAACCAAGGGUUGGCUUGCGGAAUAAGCCGGAACAAACACAUGAUAGAAAUUUCGUCCGAAGUGUUCGUGGUAGGACCUACACGGGCUCGACCGUACAUCACCAUCAUGUACAAGGCAGUGCACAUGACAUACGAAGCGUCCCCGAGUCAGCAUAGCCAAGGACUCUUUAAGACACAACGAGACCACUGUAAAAUCGACCGUGAAUAGGCGAACCACUAGACGUCGAACCCCAAUUUCAUAUCACACAUCUGUUGGAAAGAUAUCCUAAGGCUACUUGAAUUCCCACCUAUGAAAUUCCCGAAACUUUCCGGUUAUGCAAUCAGGUGUUGGGGAUACAGGGGAAGCAUAAUAUCUCACCCAAGCUAGCAAAUCCUACAUCCAGCUGCAUCCAUCCUUCAACACAUAACCAAGAAACCUUCGGAAACCAUCUAUCUCAACCUUCGAAAAGCAUCCGUUAUACAAGUUAUGGCGAUACUCCCGAACUCCCGCCCCAGUACUGGGUGGCGUCGAGGUUAUCUCACCAACGAACUGCAUAAAGGAGAUUUUCGAUGUCGCGCACAUAUCUCAAGUAUACCAGAAUUGCAACGAUAGAAUUAUGAUGACAACACCUCAGAGCUCAGCUCCCCGGGGCACUUCCACUAAACCCCUGACAGGAGGCACCAAGACAGUAUUCUCAUCAUAAGCCAUCGGAACAAAACUAAGAUACUCGCGUGAUCCUAAAAAAAAAUAGUGAAAUUUGAGAAGAGAAGAGUCAAAACUCUACGUCAGGAUGCCUUACCAGAGCGAUGAGGAGACUGGGAAGUAAAAAGAAUUCCUAAGCUCUCCGAUAUAUAAUUCCUAAGGACUCAAAACAUUUUUCUAGACACAACUCGGCUGCUAAAAACGAUCAAGCAAUGGGGCUCCUAAGGUCGGGGAAGGCUCUGAUUACCAACUUGUAACUGUAAGUGCAUCUAGUGCCACCCCUAGUUGGUUUUGGAGUAUUGACGACAAACCUAGUUGAGGGACUAAUGUGUUUGUGAGAAUUGCAGGAUACACAGGUAGAAGUCCCUCAUUGAUUCGGUUUAGCUACCAGAGAUGACCCCCAAAAAUUGUACGAAGACAUUGAAGACAAUGGUGGUUCAUGAAGACAUUCGUGUCGAAGACAAUGACAUAUGAAGACUCCCCAUGAAGCUUUUGGAACUCGAAGACUUAGAUCCUUCGUAGCUUUACUUUAUUCAUGUUGUGUCAUAGGAACCACCGUACUGUUAAGUGGGGUCCAAGAAAACCAGUCAGGAUGACUGAAGUGAUGCCUAAUUCAAAUCCUAUGUCUUCGAGUGAAAACAAUAAGAGAAAAUCUUGUCCAGAGUCAGACAAGUCAGCUUUACUUGCAGCCCAAGUAAAGUUGCCGUGAGAGUUCAAAAUCCGACCGUUAGUACACGUGUCAGUUCCUUAGUGACCCAGGGUCAUUUCAGACAAAUCAGGUCAGGGUUGCCAAGUGGCUAUAAAUAGUCCACCCCCACAACCAUAAACGGUUGGUUGCUCAGAUUUCAGUGCACGGCUUUUGUCGUUUGAGAGCAACCCACCUCGAAGCCUUUGAGAGAAAAUCCUUAGUGAGGAGAAAAGCCCUAACCACCCAGAGCCAGAGUAAUUGGGCAUCACUUAAGUCUUCUUGUCUGAGUGAUCUGAAGACUUAUUACACUUGAGGACUGUGCAUCCUCCAGAUGGUUAGGCGUCGCGUUCUGAGCAUCCAAGAGGAAUUGUGGAUUGCCGGUGAACGAAGUCUGUGAAGGUUUGGGAGUCUACCUUGAAGACUUACCAGAGUGAUUGGGCGGGGUCUGAGUGACCUUAGCUCAAGGAGAAAACGGUGAGGACUGGGUGUCCUGAGCUGCGUGUUCAGGACUGGGUGUCCGGGACUGUGUGUCCUUUGGUUUAAAUACCUAGCCGCUCCAACCAGACGUACAGUUGUCACAGCAACUGGAACUGGUCCAACACAUCAUUGUCUUCAACGUGUCACUGGUUUCAUCUUCACCUCCCUUUACUUACCAGUACACAUUGUGAAGCUAUUGCAUGCCUGCUUAAUCUUCUGUCUUCACAACCUGACUGUAUGAUCUGUUUGGCUUCAUAACUUCUUCCAACCUGAUCCUCAUUACACUGAAGCUAUUUGUCUCUGUGCUUUCACUGUACUGUAUAUUUGACUAUGUCUUGCGUUGUGUAAUCUACCUUCCGCUGCAUAGUGAUAGGCUUCAAGUCUGUUUGUCUUCAUAACUUCCACGUUUUGAAGACUUUCUUAAAAAUCGCCUAUUCACCCCCCCUCUAGUCGAUAUAACGCACUUUCAAUUGGUAUCAGAGCAAGGUGCUCCCUUGUUCUGUGUGAUUCGGUUUAACCACCUGGAGUUUUAGCUAUGUCGACUGCAGGGAUAAUUAAAGUCUCCGCUGCGUGCCCCGUCUUCGAUGGAACUGAAUAUCCCUAUUGGAAGAAUAAGAUGCGCAUGCAUCUUGAAGCCAUUGACGUCGACCUAUGGUAUGUCGUCGAAAACGGCGUUCCCAAGGCUGGAGAAGGUGUCACUGCUGCUGAUGUCAAGAAGUUCACUCAACUGGACUCCACUGCCAAGAAUAUUAUCUGUGGUCAUCUGACCAAGGGACAGUACGGCCGUGUGAGUGCCUUGAAGACAUCCAAGCUGGUCUGGGACUGGCUCUCCAAGGUCAAUGAAGGCAUCUCAACCCAGAGAGAUCAGAGAAUCAGUGUUCUUCGCAAUCUCUUCAACCGCUUCAAGCGAAAUGACAAUGAGAAUGUCCAGCACACAUUUGACCGGCUCACUGACAUCACAAAUGAGCUUCAAGCCCUCGGCGCCACUGAGAUCACCGAACAUGAAAUCGUCAAGACGCUGCUAAGAUCACUUGACAGUUCAUUUGACAUUCUAGCCCUGAUGAUUCAAGAACGUCCAGACUUCAAGACACUCGAUCCGUCUGACAUACUUGAGAGGCUCAACACACAUGAGUUUCAGCUUUCUGAGAAAAGAGAUAUCUACGGUCCAAACUAUGGGCGAACUCGUGCCUUGAAGGCAAAAGCUGUGUCAUCAUCUGAAGAGGAAUCUGACAGCAGUUCUGAUGAUCCUGAAGACAUUGGAAGGGAACUUGCAAUGCUAGUGAAGAAGUUCCAGAAAUUCACUAAGAAGAAAGGCUUCAGAAAGUCUUCACGAUCAAGCUCAAGGAAUGAUGAAGCUUCUGCGCAUGACUACAAGAGGAAAACUUGUCAUAAAUGCAAGAAAACUGGACACUUCAUCUCUGAAUGCCCACAGUGGGACAAUGAGAACAGAAAGAAGAAGAAGAGCAAGGAAUAUGACUCUGACGAUAAGAAGACGAAGAAAUACUCAAAGUCUUUGUCAAAGUCUUCGUCCAAGUCUUCCUCAAAGUCUUCAUCACACAAGAAGAGUUCAUCUGGCAAGGCUCGUGCGUUUGUUGGCAAGGAAAUGGAUUCAGAGGAGGAGUCCGCUUCUGAGGAGGCAGAGGUGGAGUCUGAGGAGGAGUCUGAUUCAGGCAUUGCAAGUUUGGCUACAGCCUAUGUCGCCAAGUCCAUCUUCAACACUGAAGACAAUGACUCCAUCACCAUCACCAAUGCAAAUGACAAGGACGACUCUACUCCCACCUACUGCUUCAUGGCACGUGGUGCCAAGGUAAACACACGCACUACUCACUAUUGAACAUCUAGUGACGAUGACUCUGAUUGUGAUUCAAAACCCAGUUACAAAACACUUGCUAAAAUUGCAACUGAACAACAAAAGGCCAUGGAACAUAUUCAAAAACUGUUAGACAGAAGCGAUGAUCUGUUGGGUGCUGAAAUGACUCGUUCUGAAUCCUUAAUUGAAGACAUAAAAAAUCUUCAUGUUAAGUAUCAAGAACUCGAAGAUCGUCUUGAGACUCUCUCAACUACUCAUGAAAAGCUUUCCUAUGAUUAUCUUCAGAAGAAGCAAGAUCUUGAGAAGUUGAGAGCGGAUCAUGAAGAUCUUCAAAAGGAAAACGAGUCACUUCGAGCCGAAAAGAUCAGUUCUGCUCAGGAAGGAUUUGAACCACCAUGCCUUAAAUGCAUUGAGCGUGAUAAUGCUAUUUCUGUUGCUGAAUGUUCCACUGCUACUGCUGUUGCAAUAUCUUCAACUGUUGAAGUGGUAACUAACCCCUCUGCUGAGGAUACCACUGCUAUUGCUGAUGAAAAUGCUAGGUUGAAGACAUUGCUUGAAACAGGGAUGUACAAAAGUCUUAAAGGACAUCAGACACUAUGUGAUGUCCUCAAGAAGCAGAUUCUGAACCGAAACCCUAGCAAAGAGGGUGUUGGGUUCGUGAGGAAAAUUAAUGCAGAUGGCUCUUACUGGAAACCUGAGCAGUACCCCAAAACCACAUGGGUUGCUGCAAAGGAAUCCUCAUCAGAUCCAUCCAAUCUAUCUGGCUUCACUUGUGCUAAUCCAAUUAUCAUCGAUGAAUCCUUUGAUGCAAACUAUAAAUUGUUUAGGAAUCAGAAUGGUGAAGUGUUUGCCAGGUACAUUGGUACUAACUGCAGGAAUGGACCGCCUAUGAAGAAGAUCUGGGUUCCAAAAACGUGUCUUGAGAAUCUUCCUGUGAAUGUCCUCAUGACAUCUCACGUGAAGAAGACAAACCUCAGACCAAAGGCUUCGUAUGGUCCAAAGGGUUCAUACAGGCAGAGGGCUCAUCUGAGUUGCACUAACACAAAUGCUUUGCAGGGAAACCAUGCUCGGGCUUAUGUGAGCGGUUCUUCAAACCGUCAUUCUCAUAUGACCAAAAAUUAUUCUGCCUAUUCUUAUGAGUAUUAUUGCCCACCUGCUAGACUGUUUGCUAGGGCUCCAAAGCCAAAAUUCUCAGAUGCUGCACUUAGACUUAUUGCUUCUAAGCCACCCUUGAAGAUGUGGGUGGUUAAGAAAGCUUAACUCUCUUUUGCAGGGAAAGGUCUCCAGCUCAAAACCAAAAUCUUCUGAUGCUAUUGCUGGGGACCUUAAAAAACUCGUGGGGCGCACGAUCAAAUGCCCGAAUGGCAUCACUAUGUAUCUCAUAUCUGAAUCACAUGCUACUCUCCCUGCUUGUCCUAACCUGGAUCUCAGUUUUCAUAAUCCACUGGUUCGUCAAAUGUUUUUGCUUCACAACACUCUUGGUGAAGCCUAUCCCCCUAACUGCACUGUAGGGUACGAUACCAGUAACUUCGGAGUCUUCAGUAUGGAUUAUUGACAGCGGGUGUACAAAUCACAUGACUGGCAAGAGAAGUCUCUUUAUGGACUCAACCUUACAUCCAUCUGACAAGAGCCACAUCACAUUCGCUGACACUGGUAAAAGUAAAGUACUGGGUCUAGGUAGAGUUGCAAUCUCAAAGGAUCAACACAUGGAUAAAGUCAUGUUUGUUGAAUCCCUUGGCUUCAACUUAAUGUCUGUCUCAAUGCUUUGCGAUUUAAACAUGAUUGUAAUCUUUGGAAAAUAUCGUUGUCUGGUACUAAUGGAAUCUGACAAGUCUCUAGUGUUUGAAGGGUAUCGAAAAGAUGAUUUGUACGUGGUAGAUUUCUCAGCAGGGCCACAGCUUGCAGUUUGUCUUCUCGCAAAGGCUUCAGAAUGCUGGCUUUGGCAUCGAAGACUUGGGCAUGCUGGCAUGAGGAACCUCCACACCCUUGCUAAGAAGAAGCAUGUCAUAGGCAUCGAGGGCGUCAAGUUCAAGAAAGAUCACUUGUGCGGUGCCUGUGAAGCCGGGAAGAUGACAAGGGCAAAACAUCCUUCGAAGACAAUCAUGACCACUACUCAACCCUUCGAACUGCUUCACAUGGAUCUCUUCGGUCCUACCCACUACUCGACUUUCUCCACUACUGCUUGCCUCUAUGGAUUCGUCAUUGUUGAUGAUUACUCAAGAUAUACUUGGGUGCACAUAAUUCUUUACAAGACUGAAGUGCAGGAUGUCUUCAGACGCUUCGCAAAUCGGGCAAUGAACAAUUAUGGCGCCAAGAUAAAGCACAUCAGAAGUGACAAUGGCACAGAAUUCAAGAACACCGGCCUUGACACAUAUCUUGAUACAUUGGGCAUCACUCAUGAAUUCUCAGCUCCAUACACGCCACAACAGAAUGGCAUCGUCGAACGCAAGAACAGAACACUCAUUGAGAUGGCCAGAACAAUGUUAGAUGAGUACAAGACACCAAGAAAAUUCUGGACUGAAGCCAUUGACACGGCAUGCCAUACUAUCAACCGUGUAUAUCUUCACAAGCUGCUAAACAAGACAUCUUAUGAACUUCUGUCUGGCAAGAAGCCAAAUGUGAGUUACUUCAGAGUAUUUGGAUCGAGAUGCUGGAUCAAGGACCCUCACCACACCGCAAAAUUUGCUCCAAAAGCACAUGAGGGCUUCAUGCUUGGAUAUGGAAAGGAUUCGCACUCCUACAGAGUCUUCAAUCUCUUUCACUACAAAGUGGUUGAAACAGUGGAUGUGCGGUUUGAUGAGACCAAUGGGUGACAAAGAGAGCAACUACCAGAUGUACUAGAUGAAGUUCCAGCCAGUGAAUCAAUCAAGCUAAUGGGAACUGGAGAAAUUAUACCUUCUGAAGCUCGUCCUGAAGAAGAACUUAUCAUCUCAGCACCUGAUCCACAUGAAGACAAUGCUCAGCCUGAAGACAUUCCUCCCCAUGACAACGUAGAUCAGCAAGAGCAAAGUCUUCGACCCCUACAUCCUCGUGUUGCCAAUGAAGUGCAAAUUGACAGAAUAAUUGAUAGCAUCAAUGCACCUGGUCCACUGACUCGUUCAAAGGCAACUCAACUGGCAAACUUUUGCGGACACUUCGCAUUUGUUUCAAUCACAGAACCCAAGAAAACUGAUGAAGCCUUUAUGGAACCUGAAUGGAUUCAAGCUAUGCAAGAAGAGCUUCAACAAUUUGAGCUGAACAAUGUAUGGGAGUUAGUUAAGCGUCCUUAUCCACGGAAGCAUAACAUAAUAGGCACCAAAUGGAUAUACCGCAACAAGCAAGAUGAGCAUGGCCAAGUCGUCAGAAACAAGGCUCGUCUCGUUGCUCAAGGAUAUACUCAAGUGGAAGGCAUCGACUUCGACGAAACAUUUGCUCCUGUGGCCAGACUUGAAGCCAUCCGUAUACUGCUGGCCUAUGCAAAUCAUCACAACAUAAUCCUGUAUCAAAUGGAUGUAAAAAGUGCCUUCCUCAAUGGCAAAAUUGAAGAAGAAGUGUAUGUUGCGCAACCACCUGGGUUUGAAGAUCCAAAACAUCCUGACAUGGUGUACAAGCUCAAAAAGGCACUAUAUGGCCUCAAACAAGCCCCUCGGGCCUGGUAUGAUACACUCAAAUACUUCCUGAAGAGCAAAGGCUUCAUACCUGGUUCCCUGGAUCCCACUCUCUUCACAAAGACAUAUGAUGGUGAACUGUUUGUGUGCCAAAUAUACGUGGAUGACAUUAUCUUCGGCUGCACCAAUCAGAAGUACAGUGAGGAGCUCGGAUAUAUGAUGCAAGAGCAAUAUCAGAUGUCUAUGAUGGGGGAGCUGAAAUUCUUCCUCGGUCUUCAGAUAAGGCAACAACGCAAUGGCAUCUUCAUAUCUCAAGAGAAAUACCUCAAAGACUGCCUGAAGAAGUUCGGUAUGCAAGAUUGCAAAGGCUUCACAACACCAAUGCCAGCCAAACAUCAUCUGGGUCCUGACGACAAUGGUAAAGAGUUCGAUCAAAAGGUAUACCGCUCCAUGAUUGGUUCUUUGCUUUAUUUAUGUGCAUCUAGGCCAGAUAUUAUGCUCAAUGUUUGCAUGUGUGCUCGGUUUCAAGCGGCACCAAAGGAGUCGCAUCACUUAGCAGUGAAGCGAAUUCUUCGAUAUUUGGCUCACACACCAACUCUAGGGUUAUGGUAUCCAAAGGGCUCAGAGUUUGAUCUGGUUGGAUUUUCGGACGCUGAUUACGCUGGUGACAAGGUUGAUCGGAAGUCCACAUCAGGCACAUGUCAUUUCCUGGGCCGAUCUCUUGUCUGUUGGUCUUCAAAGAAGCAGAACUGUGUAUCUCUCUCCACUGCUGAAUCUGAAUACAUUGCUGCUGGAUCCUGCUGCGCUCAGCUUCUAUGGAUGAAGCAAACCCUCAAGGAUUAUGGCAUUCAUCUGAAGCAAGUGCCACUUUACUGCGACAACGAAAGCGCCAUCAAGAUCGCCAACAACCCAGUUCAGCACUCGAAGACAAAGCACAUUGAAAUUCGUCAUCAUUUUCUCAGAGAUCAUGUUACAAAGGAAGACAUUGAUAUCAUACACGUCAACACUGAAGAGCAAUUGGCAGAUAUCUUCACCAAGCCCUUGGAUGAGAAGAGAUUUUGCAAGUUACGGUGUGAGCUAAAUAUCUUGGAAUCCUCAAAUGUCCUGUGAUCAGCCACACAUCCUAACACUUAUGCAUGAUGAUGACUUAGAUGUGCAACACACAAAGUAACGUAUAUCUUCAAUCAAUGAAGACAUACAUUCUAAGUGUGAAUACAUUAACGUGGAAUUUGACCUCGGAGCGCCACGAUAAUUGUGCGCCGUGUCUGAGUCCAAUACUUCCUAUACGGUGGGUAGCGCCACCACCAAAUUUUUUUUGCUUGAAGUGUUUUACUCAUGGCGUUACAUUUGCUAUGUCUUCACAUUUGGUUUGGCUUCAAACUCAACAUGUCUUCAUGAUUAUCUUCACUAUGUUGAUUAUAUAUAUGCACUGGUGUUCUGUCCUCUACAGCAUUCACUUAUAGCUAUGUCGUCUUGUCUGAAUCUUUUGAACUAAGUGAAUGUGAUCGGACCCUAACCUCUCCAUGCUUCCUACCUCAAACUCUAUCUCUCCAAGUCAUAUGCACUCUAUUGAAACUGUCGAAUGUCUUCACUGCAUCCUUGUCAGAAGAAGACACAGAGACAAACUUUAAAACAGCUUUCAAUGUUUUUCCAUCAACUAGAAUUCCGGAGAAGUAGGAACGACUCCCGACAAACCAGGCGUGCGUGGGGUGAAACUGCCCCCACAAUUCCGCAUGCUGGCCACGUACUGAUCAGAUGCGAAUCGCCAGGGGCACCUGAGUAAUAGCGCAGUGCCGCCCAUAUCCCUAUAAGUACACGUUUCACUGCGGUCAUUAUCUCUUCUUCCUCCCUCGCACAAGCCCUAGCACCACCGCUAACUCUCGACGACGCCGGCGACGAAGUGCUUCACUGCCGCGACUUCUCCGACGCCGUUCUCACGCCGACCGCGGACACCAGUCUUUCCGCCGUCGUCCUAAGUGUCUUCCGUCGCCAAGUUAGGGCACGGAGGAUCGAACUGCUCGGCCUCACCUCUCCUCUCGUCUAGCAGUUCUACGUCUGGUAAAUAACAAGCUUUUUAUAGCCUCUUUUGAUCCUAUUGAUCCAUCACUUUCUGCCAAAAGAGGUUUCUAUUCCUUCAAGUUUCAUUCCUCUUGUCUGAAUCUCAUAACUUGCCUAGCAUAUUCACUUGUUCUUCAUGAAGUAGUUAGAUUCCUCACUUGUACUGAUCCAUGGGUUCGUACAAAUCUGGAACCAACUUCUUUUCUAUAAAGUGAAUGUCUUCGCAUGAUGAGGUCAAUGUCUUCUACACUGAUUUAUCUUCAAAAUCUUCUGAGAAUGCAUAUGACCUCUUCCCCUUCCCUCGCACCUUAAUGCUGUCACAGGUACAUGUUCGUGGGAGAAUCUUUUGGUUCUCAUAGUCUGCAUUCAUUUGCAGAAUUCCUACAGCGUCACAUCAAUUCACCCGAAGCAAGUUCCUGUUGGUCAAGCAAAAGGAAGCCUUUGAAGCCUUUGAAACCUUUGAAACUUUUGAAGCCUUCCAAGUUAAGCUUCAUGGCAUCCGUGAAACCAUCAAGGAAGGGAGGCAGACAGAGACGGGGUGACACAUCAAAGGAUCUGCCUGAAGAUUUGGCAGAAACGUAUCAAACAGAUCCUGAAGAAACCUAUGCUCAGCGCAAGACACGAAUCCAAUGGAUUCGCAGGUAUUGGGCAGAGCAGUGGUUCCUAUACCGCUUCGUCACCAAAGAAUAUGCAGAGAAGUGCGCCAUCAAGCGUCCAUGGGGAGAUGCCUUGUACAAGAACCUCGUACCCCGAACCAGAGACGAAGCCAUUGCUCAAGGUUUCUUUCCAUGCAUGGUCAGGGGACAACAGCCAGCUGAUGCACAUCCAUCGUCCCUUCUCUGGUGUCGCGAUGACACUCUGUUCAAGCGCAACUUCCAAUUUGCCCAGAACUCUGCGAAGCAAAACAAGAAGGAGUUUGGAUUGGACUUCAACCCUGGUCCCUCCAGACCAAGGGCAGAUGGCACAUGCGACGCUAAUCCCAAUGUCAUCGGGCCAUUUGCCAAUCUCGACGGCCUCAUCACUCACAUUAUAGUCCAAGGGACUGCCGUGAACGACCCUCCAGCAG